rnacentral:lncRNA from 1 species
UUUUUUUCUUUUGUUUUGAAAGAUUCAAAUUUGCAAAUUCACAAGUGAAGAACUGCAGUUCUGAGAAUUCAUGUGCUAAAUUAAAUAUUCACAAACCAAAUAACUACAGUUCUGAUGCAUUAUAUGCUACAAAGUGCAAACAACACAAGAAAAAUGGCAACUCGUACUCUCGAGCAAGGAGCAUCACUGAAACACUUGCCAAGCCAAGCUCAUACGCUCACUCAUAGUGGCUCUACCUUCGAAACUGGGAAGCCCCCACUGUAAUCAAAGGCAUCCUUGCUAAAAAUGUAUGGAUGUUUAGCGCCUCCCUUGCCUGCAUCGUCGUAACUUGCCGAAGUGGAUGCAGAAUCCGCAUUAGGGUUCAGACCAGCAAGCUGCAAGAUAUUCUCGAUCUCUUUCACCACUUCACCCAUUGUUGGCCUGUCACUUCCGUUCUCUUCUACACAUUUCAAUGCAACGUCCACAAACCUAUCUAGACCUUUCAAUGUUGUGUCUAAACCAAUGCUUGAGUCAAGAAGCUCGCCGAGGUUGUACAAAUAUUUUGCUCUAUCCAAUGCCGUCCUUACCUCUCUCACCACGUACUUCCCCUUUUCUAUCGGCCUUCUUCCGGUUAAUAGUUCCAGCAUGACAACUCCAAAGCUGUAAACAUCACUCUUCUCUGUCAGCUGCUGGGUCAUGUAAUAUUCUGGAUCCAUAUAACCCUGGAAAAAAAAUACAAUAAUUAAUACAAUCAGUUCUAUCGUCCAGUCCGGUCGUGCCAAAGCUGCAUUUCAUUUUGUAAGAUCAAUCGUAGUUUAUGUAAUCUCGUAAUAUAACAUUUAACGAAUCGGCCGGUUUGCAUGCAGACACAGAGCCAAGAUGAAUAGAUGAUGAUUUUUUUUUCUUUCUUUUUAAUUCCAGGAUACCGUAAAAACAGUAAGAAAUAAUGGCAUGACGCAGAUGGAGUGGAGUAUGGAGGCACUGACCAUCGUCCCCUUCACUUGAGUUGUAACAUGAGUCAGAUGACCCGUUUCGCUGUCUCCCAUAGGCUUGGAGAGACCAAAAUCGGCAACUUUUGCAUUUAAACGCUCAUCUAAUAGUAUGUUGCUUGAUUUUAUGUCCCUGUGGAUAAUGGGAGGGUUGGCAAGUUCAUGCAGAUAGGCCAAACCUCUUGCUGCGCCAAGGGCCACUUUUAGUCUCCUCACCCAAUCAAGCCUGAUUCCCGUCUUCCCUGCUUGGAUUGGAAAGAACAAAAAGGAGAGUGCGAAUUUUCAUGAAAAAAAGAUCAAUCGUAGUUUAUGCACAAGAAUUAAAGCAAUAGAGGUUUGUUAAUUAGAUGGCAUACACCAAAUUUUCAUGAAAAAAAGAUUGUAUGGUAGCAAAUUCCAAGUAUCAGAUCGAAGCAUCGAUAGCUCAUAGGGGGUCGAUGAAAGUACCUGAUAGGCUUUCCAUGAGACUGCCAUUCGGAACAAACUCAUAUACGAGCAUUUGUUCACCUCUGUCAAAGCAAAAGCCUAUAAGGCUUACAACAUUUUUGUGGUGGACUCUGGAUAAAAGUUCAAUCUCAGUCUUGAAUUCAAGCCCACCCUGCAUCGAUCCUUGUUGAGCUCGUUUGAUGGCAAUUAGUUCUCCAGUAGGAAGAACUCCUCUAUAAACCUGUAAGGAUGUUAUCAUAUUUAAAUUCCAUGUUUUUCCGAAACCAAAAAAGAACAAAAAAACAUCAAUGCGAGGGAUUCUUCUUCUGGCAAUGAACUAGAGAAAGCGUUUGGAUCCCUUCAGCAAGACAGUAUCAGGGGAAAAUUUUUUUUGAAAGAAUCAGUAAAUAAUUGAAGUGCAGAACAAAAAAGCAUUUCACUGGAAAGGUAAGAACAUCAGCAAGUGUAUUUUGAAAUUAUACUAUGGUUAAGCAAACAUUUUCCAUGCUGCGUGAGAAAUGAGCCCAGUAAAAUUGAAUACUAACAGGCCUCUUUUUCACAGGUUUUUGUCGGGUGGAUUUAGGACAAAAUUGGCAUAGUUUACCAUGUAAAGAUUUUAGAAAACCAGACCAGAUGUAGUGAAGUUGUAAUAUAAGAAUCAUGAUCGACAAAAAUCAAGUGUUGUGCACCCCAGUUCCGAAGAGCUUGAGAUUAAGGGUUUUCUUGACUUAUAUCUAUAUGUGCAUCAGGAACAUGAAUAGUACAAAUGCAAAAAUCAAUGCGCGGAUACAUAAGAUGAGGCUUUCAGAGAGAAUCAGACUUACGUUUCCAUAACCCCCAGAACCAAUGUCAUUGGUUUCUGAGAAGUUAUUGCUGUAUUUCCUGAGCUCUUCAAAAGAGAAGUUUCUGGCUCCUUUUAAUUGAGGAACACCUCCGAUACUCUUGUUUGAUUCCCAGUGUGCUGAAAAAGAAACAAAACAAAUCCAAGAUAUUCCAUAACUGUAAACACAAAGUAAAUAAUCAAAGCCUUUUCAUACCAAAAGGAUUGUUGUGUUCAGUUGCCCUUUCUGCUCUCUUCUUUUGGCGAUGAGCAUAGAGCCCAGCGCCCAGCAAUAGCAUCAGGAGGACAGAGCCACCCGCCGCAGCUCCAAUGAUAACACCAGUGUUUGAUGAUUUUUUUGAUCCUGUAACUUCUGGAUGAGUAGAAAGAGGGAGGAGAGAGAUGUUACAAUAAGAAAGGAGAAACAGUAGGAUAAGUUUUUCUUGUAGUUCUGUACCAGUUUAUGAGACUACCUGCGAAAUAUAGAUACGCAUCACCAAUAAAAAAGAAAGGUCCGAAUUGCGAUGGAGGCUUGAAAGUCUGGUUGCUCAGCGCAAAACCAAUACUUGAAAUUCCUGUUCGAUUGAAACGAUCUUGGCCAAAUGGGAACACUUGCAGAUUCAAAACAAGGUAAGUUGAUGGAUCUCUUCUUGGAUGACUUAGAUUAACUGAAUCCACAGGAAGUUCAUGUAACUUGAAUGAGUCCAUCAGAGACUUUUCAAGAUCAGUGUAAUAAGUGUAGAUUUUCAGGUCCGAGAAUGAAGGAGCUCUGAACUGUAGAAGUCCUGUGUAUGGAAAUGCACAUCUACAGUUCGGACUGGAAAUCUGAUUAGCAAAGCACGAAGAAGCUACACAGUUAUUUGGAGGCGUUGAAUAGGAAGAUUCGGUUUGGGGAACACUGCAGUAACUUUCUGUCACUCCUGUUUCCUGACAAACUGGGUUGUCUACAAGUCUGCAAAAUUUUAACAGGUAAACAAGAUAAAGCUAGAAACAAGCAUACAUCCUGGCAGUGUAAUGGAUACAAACAAAGCAUCUUACAUUACGCCCACUUUUUCUACUCCUGGUUUGUUUGUGAAGCCAGAAAUUUGAUUUUCUCGCAAAUCAAUCAAUGACAGUUGGUUUUUAGAGCCUGUUCCAAUAUCCAAUGUGCCAUUGAGCUGGUUAUUUCUUGCAUGGCUGUCACCAGAAGUCAAAUCAGCUAUCAACUAGCUAAUUUCAUAACAUGGAAUUAUCUAUCUAAACCCAUUUUGUAUGAAUCCAAGAAAGGAAUAAGCUAAUUUUCGUUGAACAGCUUGAAGCUGACUCUUACACAGUCUGCAAAUUGGAAAGGCUAAAGAAGUCAGAAGGAAUCUGUCCUUGAAGUUGUGUUGUGUCCAUCGCCCUGCAAUAAAAAGGUAAUGAUAUCAUACUAAGACUGGGGUCUUAAUCUCUUUUUACGUUUUCAAAGUUCAAACAGCAACUAGGCACCCGUGCACUCGAUCAUUGUGAGCUUUGCAUGCAUGCACAAAGAACCCAAGGAGAUAUAAUAUGGCAAGCCCUGUAAAUGAAGCUGGUUCCAGCAAUGUAAAGGCAUGAGAAAAAUCAAGUCUUGUGCCUUUAUGAACAAAUGCAUAUGAAAUAUGAGGUUUCAUGAAGUGGAUGCUCAUAGUAUUGUUUACACAAACAGAUCAAAUAGCACAUUUUAUGAAAACCACAAAGAGAUAAUGAAGUUUAGGAUGAGCAAAGCUAAAUACAAAAAGCGGAGUUAUGAAAGAGUAUAUAGUUCCUUCAUCUACAAGUUAGAGAUUACUCAAGCAGAUAUUACUUACUCAGAUUGGAGGUUAGACUCCCAAGUUCUUAUGACUUCAACAGGAAUUUGUACCAAAAAAUAAAUAAAAAAUCAAUAAGAAGAUAGUACAGAAAGCCAAAUGUUACAGAAGGGCAGAACGAAUAUACAGCCCAAAAAUUAUGCUGCUUAAAGGUGUAUGUGGAGAUAGGUGAUUAGAAAAUAAGAACUAAUAAUUUAUAGAGAAACUUUCUUGAGUUUAAGAGAAAAGAAAACAAAUGAUUGAUGUGCCGAUAGCAUUUCAACACGCAGAUUGCUGUAAUCUGUCAAGUAAGUUAAUAUAAGAGCUCAUUCAAAGCAAGAUGAUGGAAAGCGUUUGUGCUUUUAAUGUUUGGGCAGAGAACCAUACAAUGUUGUCAAAGACUGCAAGGUUGAAAACCAUGGAGGAAAAUCUGUAGCGUCGAAACUAUUAUUGCUCAUGUCCCUGCAAACAACAUUUUCGUCAAAAUAAACAGAGAGAAAAAAGUAGAGCUAGAAUUCAUCUCAACAAUUGAUUUUAUGUACGUCUAAACCAUGUAAGAUCUUACAAGUAGGUGAGAAGAUCCAUGCGAGUAAGGUUGGGAAGUGGCCCAGUUAACCCAUUGUUGGAUAAAUACCUGAAAAUUGGACACCAAGCAACACACUCAACAUAGAAAAAACUCCCAUACGAGAUAUUAAUGACUUCAAUAAAACCAGUUGUAAUGGAAGGUCUCUCCCUCCAUACUUACAUCUCACUGACAGUGGUAAGAUUAUUGAUGUUUGAAGGAACAGCUCCAGUGAGCGAAUUGUUAUCAAGACGCCUGUAACCAACAUUGCAUAUUCAAUUACAACAUUAAGCAUUAGGAAUCUAAUUAAAAAAUAACUUGAGUCUCCAAUAUCGAUACUUACACAACCUCCAAAGACUUCACAAGGCCAAGGGUGGAAGGAAUGCUGCCUGUCAGCUUGUUGCUCUCAAGAAGUCUGCCGAAAGAAAGACAAAGAAACCAAAAGAAUCAAUCAAAGAAAUGCUUAAAUGGAAUUAUGAUUAUGAAUUAUGCAAUUCCAAAGGAUUCAAACGUUAAGUAAUCUUAAAAAUUCGAGAACAGAAAUAUGAUCUCAUAUCCAAUCUAUGAAGUAGUUAUUUAGCAUCAUCCAGCAUUUGAACUGAAUGGAACUUACAUAUGUAUGAGAUUCAUCCCUGAGCUAAAAAGUUUAGGCGGGAUUUGGCCUGAGAGCUGAUUCAAUCCAAGAUGACUGUAAAUAGGUUUUAGAGGAACAUUAACACAUGGAAAACAGAAUCGUCAAUUAUAGUUAGAAAGAAGCAAUGAGAUGGAUAGAACAAAGAGAAUCGACAUACAAGUGUUUUGUAUUAACCAGUAGGUCAAGGCCAGGAGUAGUCCCUGUAGAGACUGGGAUGGUCCCAGUAAGCCUGUUAUCAGCAAGAUCCAGCCAAUAAAGAUUAUCUAGAUUGCCAAGUGAAGGGGGAAUUGAUCCAGUGAACCCAUUAGAAUUGAGAGAUCUGCAGGUAAUACCAGUGAAGAGCUUUAGAAGAUGGUUGUUUAUGAAUCAUGAACAGUAAUUGAUUCAGUGAUGUUGCGGUAAAGCAUGGAAAGUGUUACAAGUUGAAAAAUACUUACAGAUAGGUGAGCUGUGGCAAAGAUCCUAAUGUAUCAGGGAUUCGACCAGAGAAACGACAGCCAACCAGUAUUCUAGAAUGGAAGGAGGGGGGGGGGGGAAUCAGGACUGAAACAAAUUGAGCAUCAGAUAACAUUAUAGCGCAACAGAGUUUCCCCUUACAAGUUUGUUAGCUUCUUCAAAUCCCCAAUUACUGGAGGAAGAGGGCCACUCAAUUCUGUGUUGUAGGAUAAAUCCCUGUAUAAAGAUGCAAUUAUUAGAAAUGUAUCAUAGCAAUCCUUUCCAAGGAAAUCAAUCCCUUUUUUCUAUCAUUUAAUAGCUAUAUCUGAAAUCAAUCCCUUGGCAACAGUUAAUCUAAGCGAUGCGCUUCUUGAAUACAAAAAGCUCUAUACGCGAGUGAGGCAUGAACUUAAUCAGUACUUAACGCAUAGCAUCAACCUCUAGAACAGUAAUCCGAGCACAUUAGUUGUAGAUUGGAUUCUUGGAUCCUUUUCAUAACAUAAAGAAAAAAAGGUAAUAGUGCACAGAGUGAAGACAUACAGAAUCUGCAAUUCUGACAAGCUUGAGAUGUCUCCAGACAGUGUCCCUUUCAAUCCCAUGCUUGCCAAUGUUCUGCAGAUGAGAAUAGUCAGAUUAAUCUAAAAAAGCAGAGGAAGGAAUGAUCUGCAAGCCUCAAUAAGCUGUACAAGAUGAAAUAAAGCCAAUGACUUACAUGGAAGUCACACGCGAAUUGGUGCACAAAAUGCCAUCCCACCUGCUUCCACAAGGGUCAGCCCCCACCCAUGUUGGUGGAACGUUUUCCCAGACAUCCUUGAGAGCUUUCAGAGCAUUAACUGCAUCAGGAAUCAAAAGAAUAUACAUAUAUUGAGGGUCUAUAAAUGGAAAUCUAAUAACAAAUUUACAAUAAUUAGUCUUAUUCCCCAGAUUGAACGAGCCUAAUGGACAAUUCUGGAGCCUAGCACCAGUUCCAACAAUCAUCAUAUAAGAACAGGAAAAGGCAUCCAAUGAAGGCUGGAUACACGAUCUGAGUUUGACAAAGUAUCUCCCAGCUCCAGCUUCUACUUUACAACCAGAAUUACAGAAUCAAAACCAAGUAAAUCAUAAGCCAGAAAUGAUUCCCUGACUCUUGGAACUGCAAAAGCAAGUGGAAUCUGGAGUCCUAAAUCUACAGUUCAUCUUAGUAUAUGUUAGACAAGAGGUCAUUAGACAGCUGAUACUAAUUUGGAUCAAAGUCCUAAAACAACAUGCAUGUUCUAAGUAAUUUACCAAAAACAAGAAAAAACUAACUGUUUAAAGAACUUACAAUCAUCAUUGUUAGUCACUGCUGGUGUGGUACAAACUUGAAUUAGAGCAACAACCAAGAACACAAGAAUUCUUGAACCCAUUUCUCAAGUAACCUUACAGGAAGCUCUUUGUUUUCAGUUGGUAAAGUCGAAAAACUGAAAUCCCAUUUAGUAUCAGCAGUUAAAUCACACACAUGAAGGUCUUCAAUUCAAACUGUUGAAAACUUGGCCUUCUUUUAUUUCCAGAUUAUACCACGUCAAACUCACACAAAAAAAGUCUCAAAUUGAAUCAUCUCCACACGCUAUUAUACCAUGUCAAGAGGAUUUGUCUUCAAGUUGAGAUGCUCAAUAGGAUUUGUCUUCAAGUUGAACAAUUUUGUCCAUUUCUUACUGUUAAAUAAUAUAUUUAUCUUGUUUUAUUUAUUAAAAAUAGUGUCAUAACUUAAAUUUUGACCCUUUUAUUUUAAUUAUUAUUAUUUUAUUUACUGAAAAUGAUAAAAAAAAUAAAUGAUGAAAAAAAUAAUGAUGAAAAAACAAGUAAAAUGAAAUAAAUAAAGAAUGAAUUAAAAUUUGGGUUAAGGGCAACAUGAUUGGAAUUUAAAGAUUUAAUUAAAUUUUUAACUAGUUUAAUUAAUGAAGUCAAGGGUUUUAUUGGAGAAUUGAUAAGUUUUGAGACUUGAUUAAGCUUGAAAUUGAUUUAAUUAAUCCAAUCAAGGGUUUAAUUGAAGAAUUGAUAAGUUUUGAGACUUCAUUAAGCUUGAAAUUAAUUUAAUUAAUCCAAUCAAGGGUUUGAUUGGAGAGUUCAUAAGUUUUGAGACUUAAUUAAGCUUGGAAUUAAUUUAAUUAAUCCAAUCAAGGGUUUAAUUGGAGAAUUGACAAGUUUUAGACUUAAUUGAGCUUGGAAUUAACUUAUUCAGGGACUUAAUUGAAGAACUAUUAAAGUUUGGGGUCACAAUUGCAAAAUUAAAAUCCAAAGACUACAUUGAAAAUGGAGCACAAAUGUAGGGGGCUAAUUAUAGUUUAAAUCAGGGGCUUCAUUACAAGACUUUCAAAACUGCACGGGUCAAAACGUAAAAUGGCCACCUUUUAUCUCCAAACGACGUCAUUUUGAAGACAUUGUUCAUCUUCUUCUUUAAAAUAGAGAUCAUUUUCAGCAGUAAAAGCUGAGAAACAUUGCAACAGUAAUCGUUGUCUGUUGGCUUCAGUUAUGGGUGCCUUAAUGGUUGUCGACCCUCAGCAUGUCGCCUGUUAACGACCCGCCAGACUCUAUAUAAACAAAUAAGCAUUGAAAAAACAAGGGUUGGUUAGAGAGAUAGAGACGGGAAAAAACCCUGAAAAGAGAUCGACACAAAGAAACCAGAGGGACUCUUAAGUGUUUUUUUUAGAACCCCAUACCAGAAGCGAACUUUCCCUGACCAGUACUAGCCUAAAACAACGAAGGUAGAAACAGACCGAGAAAAAGUAGAGAGAGUUUGAAAAACAUAGCACGGGGAGAAUUUCACAGAUGAGAAAAGAAGAAAUAGAAGGCAGGAAAGUAGAGGUAGAAGGAGGAUUUCCAGCUUCCUAUCAAUGGACGCCACCACUGAUCUUCGCCCAAAACGCUAACACUUCGGCGAAGCAACCUGCAACAAGGUAAGCUUUCUUUUUCUCUUCGUUUGCUUUCGAAACUUCAUUACAUUUAGCACUGUACGAAGGUAAUUAAUUACCUUCGUGCAGUGCCAUGCACGCAUGAAACUAGUUCAUGAAACUAGAGUCAAGAAUAAAAAUACUGAUUUAAUUGUUUUUUUUUGUUUUUUAUUUAACUACAUAAAAAAAUAUGUGAAUGCGUAAUGAAAUGAAUUUAUUUUAUUUUUUUAUUCACUAGCAUUAGAGUCAGGAAUAAAAAAAUAUUGAUCUAAAUUUAUUUUAUAGCUACGUAAUAUUUACCAACGCAAGAGUUAGAAUUAUGCGUAAUCGAAUAUUCACUAGCGUUAGAGUCAGGAAUAUCAUAAGUAAACCAUCAGAGCAUAAACCAAUAAAUAUUUAGCAAUUUAAGACAAAACCAUCAAUGUAGUCUGCCUCAGGCAGAAUGUUUAAGGGGUGAUAAUAUCUUCCCUUUUAUGUAACCAGUCUAGUACCAUAUAAUUUUUGUUGACCAGUUAGGGUUCCUAGUGACCAUAAUACUAGGGGCAACUCUUUAAACAAUACAUUUUCCCUUAAAAGAACCAGAUGCUAGAAAUAUGUUAUUUUUCCAUAACCAAGAAAAAUUUUAAGGCCGCCAUGAUAUGGGGUGCAACAAGUAGAAUAGUAUUUUUAGUUUAACCUAUACAUAAGCUCCUUUUAUUUAGGUUAAAGUAAGAACUUUAAUACAAAUCAAUAGAGGAGAAUUCUAGCAUUCUUCUCUUUCAUGUUUGUAUUUAUUUUUGUGUUAGUUAAAUUAUUUUAACAUCGUAUCAGAACUGGUUUUAUGGAACAAGGCUUAAUCCCAAACACAGCUUUUGUGGAUCCAAUUUUUUUUUGGACUGAUAUUUUGUCUUCCACUUCUGCAAAAUCUAGUAUUUUGACUUUCCUUCAAUUUCUGCAAUUUGGUAUUUAUGUUCUUUCUUUGCAAUUGUUUUGGUAUUUCAUCUUCUACAAUUUGUGUUGUGUUUCGGAGUAAUCGUAUAAUUUCAAGAGGAUAUUUGUUGAGUAUCUGUGAUAUCUGUUCAGUUUAUGCAAUCUGGUACUUUGUCUUUUAUCGUUUUUGCAUUCUGGUUAUUUUUGUUUGUUAAUUAUGGCUACCGAAAGAGAUGAUCCGUUUCAGUCUGUGAGUGUGAGGUUGGUUGGAAAGAAUUAUUCAUACUGGAGUUAUGUAAUUAUAAAUUUUCUUAAGGGUAAGAAGAUGCGGGGGUAUGUUAGUGGAACUUAUAUGAUACAUAAGAAUACUAAGGAGGGGGAUGUUGUUUUGAUAGAUACAUGGGAAGCAAACAAUGCAAAGAUCAUCACUUGGAUCAACAAUUCUAUUAAGCAUUCCAUAUGUACGUAGUUGGCGAAGUAUGAGACAACAAAGGAGGUUUGGGAUCAUUUACAAAGGUUAUUCACGCAAUCAAAUUUUGCAAAGAAGUAUCAAUUAUAGAAUGACAUACGAGCUCUUCACUAGAAUAAUAAGAGUAUUUAGGAGUUCUAUUUUGUCAUGACAGAUCUUUGGGAUCAAUUAGCUCUUAUAGAAUUGGUAGAAUUAAAGGCAUGUGGUGCUUAUAUUGAGCGUAGAGAGUAGCAACGAUUGGUAUAGUUUUUAACAGCACUUCGCAGUGAUUUCGAAGGACUUAGAGGUUCAAUUAUGCAUCGUUCACCAUUGCCUUCUGUUGACUUUUUGUUAGUGAGUUAUUGGCUGAAAAAAUACAUCUUCGGUCUUAUUUUGAAAAGAGAAUUCUUUCUGCUUCAAAUCUUUCUGUACUAGCAGUACCCUCUAAGCCAUCCUUUAAUCAUCAAAAUAAGCCUUACACAAGGGUUGACUUCGAUGAGUGUAAUUUAUGUAAGCAGAAGGGUCAUUAGAAGGCUUAGUGUCCCAAGUUGAGACAACAGAAUCAAGCUUAUAAGUAUGGCAGUCAGUCACAAUCUAAUGCUCAUAGACCAUCUCAGGGUUAUAAACCACCACACCAUAAUACUGCAGCAAUAGCUUCAUCAAGCUCUAUCACCGAUCCUAGUACUCUGGCUGAGCAAUUUCAAAAGUUUCUCUUCUUACAGCCACAAGCAAUGUUUGCUUCUUCUUCCAUAGGUUAGUUGCCUCAUAACUCCUCAGGUAUGUCACAUUUUGAAUAAGUCUUAGAUUUUGGUGCUUCCCAUCAUAUGUCUCUAGAUUCUUCAUCUUUUACCUAUGUGUCCCCUUCAUCCUCCAUUCUUGUUAUUAUUGCUGAUGGCACUCUCAUGCCUUUAACAGGUGUUGGUUCUGUUGUCACACCUCACUUGUCUCUCCCUAAUGUUUAUCUUACUUCGAACCUCAAAUUGAAUCUUGCUUCUGUUGGUCAAAUAUGUGAUUAUGGUGAUUAUUUAGUCAUAUUUUCUGGUUCUUUUUUUUUUUAUGUAUAGGAUCUGCAAUCUCAAAAGCUAAUUGGGACAAGCCGUAGGGAGAAUGGGCUAUAUAUUUUGGAUGAGUUAAAAGUGUCAGUUGCUGCUGCCACCACCACUGCUACUACUAUUGAUUUGUCUUCCUUUCGUUUGAGUCCUUCAUCUUCUAGUUUUUAUUUAUGGCAUUCUCGUUUAGGUCAUGUUUCGUCUUCUCGUUUAAGAUUUUUGGCAUCCACAGGAGCUUUAUAAAAUUUGAAAACUUGUGAUAUCUCUUAUUGUAGUGGAUGUAAACUAGCAAAAUUUUUCGCUUUACCUUUGAAUCGAAGUGUUUCUGUUUCUUCUUCACCUUUUGACUUGAUUCAUUCAGAUGUACGGGGACCUUCUCCCAUUGCCACAAAAGGAGGGUCUUGAUAUUAUGUUUCAUUUAUUGAUGAUCAUACUCGUUAUUGUUGGGUUUAUUUAAUGAAACAACGUUCUGAAUUCUAUAAGAUAUAUGCAGCUUUUUGGCUCUUGUGAAAACUUAACAUUCUGUUGUAAUCAAAUGUUUUAGGUGUUUGGGUGGGGAAUAUACGUCUAAUAAAUUUUGUCAGUUGCUUGCCUUAGAUGGAACCAUUCAUCAAACUUCAUGUAUAGAUACUCUUGAGCAAAAUGGUGUUGUUGAAAGAAAAAAUAAGCACAUUGUUGAAACUACUUGUUCUCUCUUGUUGUCUACUUCUGUUCCUAGUGAGUUUUGGGGAGAAAUUAUAUUUAUUGCUAUAAGUUUAAUUAAUACAAUCUCAUCCUCUCAUAGUUCAGGUUUGUCUCCUUUUAAAAAGUUAUAUGGCCAUGUCCUUGAUUAUUCCUCCUUUAGAGUUUUUUGUUGUACUUGUUACAUUCUUUGUCCUCAUGCAAACCACAGCAAGUUGUCCUCUCAUUCUGCUAUUUGUGUCUUUCAGGGUUAUGGUGAAGAUAAAAAGAGGUAUCGUUGUUUUGAUCUAAUAACUCAUAAACUUUAUGUGUCUCGUCAUUGAAGAGAAUGAUAUUCUUAUUCUAUUUAAAGCAAGCAGAGUUUACAAAUUAUACUAAUGGUUUAGACUAUGAAUAAGGAAACAAAUAAUUAAAGAUUCAAUUACAGUAUUUGACUAAGCUAACUGCCUAUUAUUCUGUACUUGAUUUCCUAUAUUGUGCUUGAUUGUAUUUAACACUCCACCUCAAGUUGGAGUGUAUGUUAAUUACACCCAACUUGCUAAGUAAAGUCUCAAACUGUGUGUAGCUUAAUGGUUUAGUAAAUAAAUCUAUCGGUUGAUGUGUAGUUUGAAUGUAGGUUGUCUGAAUCAUUCCUGCUUGAAUUUUCUCAUGUAUCAAAUGUUCGUCUAUUUGUCACGACCUGAUUCCCGGAUCUAUGACCGGCACAUAGCCAAGGUUCCCCUUCGAAGUUCCAUACCUAUGCGACCCCAAACUUAUAUACAAAAUUAUCCUUCAAAUAAGUCAAUCAGAGUUCAACGCAACAGCAACAACAAACUAACUUCAUAAUAUAAUUUGAUUGUCUUAAUACAAGAAGAGUUCAUAGAAAUUCAUAGUUUUGGAGCACUAACUAGACAUAAAGGAAAAUGUAUAAAUUUCAACAAAAGAGCAGGUUCUGAAGGUUCAACAAAAGUGACCUGCUAUCAUUCUAUAAGCCUGAAAAUGAUAAAUAAUGAGAGGGUGAGUUCAACAACUCAGUGAGUAGAUAAUGUUCAAUACACACACACAUGAGGUAAUACAACAAUGAGAAUAUAUAUACAAGUAUGGCUCUAGGUUCUUAAAGGAAAGUUUCUCAAAUAAGCCAUAACAAGAAUAUCAUAAGGUAAAACUCGUCAGAAAAUCAAAAUCCAAUGAGCAUGAGGUUUCAUACCAUUGGAUGAUCAAUCCACACAUGUUGGUGACUCCCCCGACCAACUAAGGUUCAGAUACAAUGUGAACAAAGACUAACACUACCAUGUUAGUAUGGGUAUUUUGACUGGCACACAAUAGGUUCAUAAUCAUAAUCAAAUAGACAUAUUCAUAUCUCAAGGCUUAACUCAUAACAUCAAUAAAAUGAGGAGCUAUCAAUUCAAAAGUCAAUUCAAAAUAUAUACUGGUUCAUAUCAAGAAUUCAAAUUCAACAAUUGAUUAUGCUCUAUCAUAACAAUGAUAAUAAUAAAAAUAUGUAUAUCAAGAAGCAUGAUCCAAUUCAUAUUAACAAAUCAAAUAUUUAUAAUAUUUCUCAUGCAUAUGGAAAAUUAUCCACUCACCUAACUCGAAAGCAAACAACACUCAAAAGCAGAUAUGAAGGAAAUCCUACUGACGUUCCGCCGGUAGAAUAUCAAGAUUAUCUGAAUACAAAGAAGACAUAUUCAAGAACGAAUUGAAAGAACAUAUAACCUAUUUAACAUACCUAACUAAGGGUAUAUUCCAUAACCUUAUAUGUUUUUAGUCUAAACUAGUUAUUUUCCCAAAAACCCAAAAUUAAACAGUUGUCCCUAAAUCUAAUUCAUAAUAAAACAAAUAAUAAGACUUGAUAAUAAUUCAUUAAAUAAACCUUAUUUAUUCAUCAAACCAAUCUACAAAAGCUAAUAUUACAACUAUGGACCAAUCUGGAAUUUAUCAUAUUUUUAAGGGUUAAAUUGUAACUUUGUCAAAUUGGAGGACCAAACUAAAAAUAUUAUAAAUUCAUGACUAUAGUGGAAUUAUGUCCAUAAUAUAUCUUUUAUUGUGUCCAGAAACUCUAAUUAUGCUCCAGGGACCAUUAUGAAAUUUUUCCAAAUUUUUAGGGUGAAAUUGUAAUUUUUGUCAAAUGGGAGGACCAAAUUGAAAGUGUUAAAAAUUCAUAACUAUACUGGAAUUCUGCCCAUAAUUCAACUUUUAUUCUAUCUAGAAUCUCAGAAUAUGCUCCAGGGUCCUAUCUAUAAUUUUUCCUAAGUUUGGGGACUUAACUAUAAUUUUCACAAAUUAAGGGACCAAACCAAAAUUUUGUCAUCGUCAACCUCAAAACUAGAAUUUCCACAUAAAACCUACUAUUAUCUCAAGAUUUAUAACUCAAAAUUCACCAUUUCACACAAAUCAUAACUCAAAAUCAUCAUCUUUACCUAAAAUCUUCAAAAAUCAAGUAAACAACUCAUUACCAAUAACAAUCAACUCAUAAUAUUCAAAUCAAUUCUUCAAUAAACCCAAAACACAAUCUUCAAAACCCUAACAUUUAUCAAAACAGAAAUUUAAAGCUCAAAGAACACACAUUUAUACAUUUAAAAACCUAAAUCUUACCUUUAAACUUAUUUACUCCAACUCUCUUCUCUUUCUCUUAUCUUUCCCUCUUUUCUCUUCUUCUUCUUCUUUCUCGCUUCUCUCCUGCCGUCCCUUACACUAAAAUUUCAUAUCCUUCUUUGUUUGUUUCUUUUUUCUAUUUAUACUUAUUAUUUUUAUUCAAUUACCAUACUACCCCUUAUUCAUUUAUACCCACUUUUAAGCCUUCAAGGGCUUUAUUACAUUUUCCUACUCAUUUAUUUCAAAACAUCACACUAUUUCUAUGUGCUUGGUUCGCUCAUGAAAGACAGGAUUUGUUGCUAUGUGCAUUGUUGCUUGAUUAUCGAAGAACAAGAUCAUUAGUUGUGUGUGAUUUAUCUUUAAGUCCUUUAAAAUGUUUUUCAGCCAUAUAAUUUCGCAGCAUGUAGUGGCCAUGGAGCGAUAUUUUUCCUCUGCACUUGAAUGUGAUAUUGUUGUCUGUUUCUUGGUCCUCUAAGAAAUUGGUGCCUCUCUAAGUAGAAUGCAGUAACUAGUAACUGAUCUUCUCAUGUCCUUACAAUGAGCCUAAUUAGCAUCAUAAAAUUCUCUUAAUUGAAGUGCGUAUGUGGAAGGUAAUAAGAUGCCUUGUCCAGGUGUUUGUUUGAUGUAUUUGAGCACUUUAUGAGCUGCUUCUAGAUGAGGUUGCUAGGGCUUGUCCAUGAACUGACUUAAGAUAUGCACAGUAUAAGUCAGGUCCGAUCUGGUUAUAGUUAGGUAGAUUAACCUUCCAACUAACCUUCUGUAUGUUGAUCCAUCCUCCAAAAGCUUUCCAUUGGUUUGUGUUAGUGACACGUUUUGUUCCAAAGGAAACCGGGAUGACUUGACACCUAAAAAUCCAAUAUCAUCCAGAAUGUCAAGGGCAUAUUUUCUCUGUGACAGAUUGAUGCCAUGUUGUGAUCUUGCAACCUCUAUGCCAAGAAAGUAUUUAAGUUGCCCCAAGUCUUUAAGUUUGAAUUGGUUAGACAAGAAGAGUUUGGUGUUCUCUAUGUCCUGCAAAUUAUUCCCAACUAAUAUCACAUUAUCAACAUAUAUUAGUAAUGCUAUAAAGUUACAAUGAUGAUUUCGAACGAAUAAAGAAUAGUCAGACAAAGAUUGAUGGAAUCCUGCAGCUUUUAGUGCACUGGACAACUUGAUAAACCAUUGUUUAGAAGCUUGUUUUAAGCCAUACAAGGAUUUGUGAAGUUUACAAACACGUGUCUCCCCUUUGCGUCCGAAACCAGGAGGAAAAGACAUGUAAACGUCCUUAUCCAAGUCUCCAUUUAGAAAGGCAUUGUUGACAUCUAAUUGAUGUAAAUGCCAACCACGCAAAGCUGCAACAUUAAGUAAGACGCAGACAAUGACUAUUUUGGCCACGUCAACGAAAGUUUCCUGGUAAUCAACACCUUCAACUUGGCUGUAGCCUUUAGCCACUAGCCGGGCUUUAUACAAUUCGACUAUCCCAUCGGCCUUCAACUUGAUUUUGCACACCCACUUGCAGCCGAUUAGUCGUUUGUGGGAUGGAAAUGGAACCAAACUCCAAGUCCUAGUGGCUUGUAAAGCAGCUAUCUCAUGGUGCAUGGCCUCACGCCAUCGGGGAUGUUGAACAACCUGUGAAAAACUGGUGGGUGCUUUGAGGAGAGUGAGCUAAGCUAUAUAAGCCUUGUGAUGGGGAGAAAGGUUAGCAUAAGAUAAGUAAGCAGAGAGGGGAUAAGCAGUACUUGAAGUGUGAACCAGGUUUGUGAAAGAUGUCGGGUCAAACCUUGAAGGGAGAGUCAUAGCGAGAUGGAUCUUGCAAGUAUGAGGGAGUGGUAAUAAAACGACUGCCAUGAUGAAGGGGAUGAAUGGGCACAAGGGAGGAGUAGGGGUGAAGGUUUUGUGAGGUAGAUAAAUCGAUUAUUUGUGGGAUAGGGGAGGCUGGAGAUGGAGGCUCAGUGGGAGGAGCUAGAGGGUUAUAUGAACUGGUGGAAGGGGUUGUCUAGGGUGGAGGUGGGUUGUUGAUUUCAUGACGGGUAAUAGGAAAAGAGGGUUCAAAAUUUAUGUCAAAGUGUGAGGAUGGAGUAGGAGUGGAAGGCCAGAAGGAUGGGGCAUCAAUAUUAGUAUGUGGGGCAGGUGAAAGGAAAGGAAAUAUGGUUUCAAAGAAAAUGACAACCCUAGAGACUAUGACCUUGUUCUUAGUUAGAUUAAAGACUUGAUAUCCCUUUUUUUCCCAUAAAGAUAUCCAAGAAAGAUACAUCGAGAUGCUCGAGGAUCAAAUUUUGAAUGACUUUGGGCAUGGGUGGAAACAAACAUAAGCAACCAAAUACUCAUAAGUGUGAGUAAUUGGGGACCGUGUUAAAUAGCUUUUCAUAUGGUGUUUUUCUAUGGAGAAUGAAGGUUGGUGUUCAAUUUAUAAGAUCAGCGGAAGCAAGAAUAACAUCACCCCAAAAUUGAUUAGAAAGACCGGCCUGAAUAAGUAAGGCACAUGCCAUAUUUAGCAAAUGCCUAUGUUUGCGUUCGGCAACGCCAUUUUGUUGUGGAGUAUUAAUGCAACUAGUUUGAUGAAUGAUACCUUUUUUAGCGUAAAAACUAUCAAGUUUGAAUUCAUGACCAUUGUCACUACAAAUCAUUUUAACUUUGGAAUCAAAUUGAGUUUCAACCUUGUUGAUGAAGGUGACUAGAAGAUCCCUAGUAUCUGAUUUGUGUUUUAUAAGAUAAACCUAUGUGCAUCUAGUGUGAUCAUCAACGAUAGUAAGAAAAUAUUUUGCAACUCAAAUAUAAGCAGCUUUAUAACCACCCCAAAUAUCAACAUGAAUUAAGGCAAACAAAGAUGUAGUAGUAAUAGAACUUGAAGAAAAUGGAAGUCUUAUUUGUUUUGCUAACAGACAGAGCAAGCAUUUGCCGUUAGAAUAAGAAUUAAUUUUAGGAAAUAACUAAGAGACUAUGGCUGAGGGAUGCCCAAGACAUUGAUGCCAAAGGUUCGGGUUUGGAGUUUUGGCAUGGUUGCAUGCUCCUUUCUUGGCUUGGUCAGGAAAGUAGAGACCCUCCCGUUCAAUUCUCGUCCCAAUCAUCUUCCCCGAACAUAGGUCCUGAAUCACAUAAAAUUGGCUUAGGAAAAUGGUUACGCAACAAGAAUCAAUGCUAGCUUGCUAAUUGAAAUUAAAUUCAAUCAAAAAUAUGGGACACAUAAAACAUUGUCAAGAAUCAAAUCAGGAGAUAGAUUAACUCUUCCUAUAUGAGUUACUUGUGUCAUUGAUCCAUUUGGUAAUUCAACAGUGCGGCCAUUAACAAGUCUUGAGUAUGUGAGUAGGUUCUGAUCACAAAUCAUAUGAUUUGUGCACCCACUAUCCAAAAUCCAUGUACUUCUGUUGCCAUUAGAAAUAAUUGAAAAAGCUUUACCUGAGAGCUCAUCAUGAGUUGAACAAUUACUAACAUGAUUGGCAAAGGAUGUUUUAAUUUUCAACAUGCUAAGUAUUUGUGUGCACUCUUCAGCUGUGAAAGGGAAAUUCAUCUCCUUUCUUUCAUUCGUGUGUGAUGCAUUGGUUUCCCUUGGAAAUUGCCACAUUAAACUCAGCUUCAGUCACUACUUUCUUCUUUCGACAAUACUCCGCCGUAUGUCCCUUCUAGUGGUAGAAAGUGCACCUCAGAUGUGCACGACAAUCCUUGGUGGUGUGGUUUGUUCUAUUACAUCUGGAGCAUCUCGGUUCAGUUUCAGACUCAUGGCUUGACUUCUUUACAGUAAAGAAAACAACCUCUGGUUGAGCAUGGCCUUACCCGGCUGUCACCUCUAAUUGUUUCUCAUGACGAAGAACCAAUGAAUAUGCCUUGUUUACUGUAGGUAAUGGAUCUUGUAGCAGAGUGCUGCUACGAACACCCAUGUAUGAUCAUUAAGACCCAUGAGGAAUUUCAUGGUUUUCUGUGUGUCUAGAUAUAUAGCCACUUCCAUUAUUGAUCCACAAUUGCAUGUUGGAAAGGUGCAGAGUGCAUUACGCUCAUCCCAUAAACCUUUCAGCUUUGUGAAGUAAGAUCCUACAGACAUGUUGCCUUGUAUACAGUUGUGAAUUUCAUUCUCGACAUUGAAUAAUUGAACCACAUUCACAUGCGAGAAUCAUUCUUGUAAAUCAAGCCAUAUUUGUCUAGCAUAUUUGCAGUUGAUGACGUAACAACCAAUUCUUAACCAAACUACUACACCGAUUGGAUUAUUGAUGUUAAUCUAGUUUCUUCUCAUCAGGCUCCUUCAUUGAGCCAUUUAUGAAUCCAAUUUUCUUUUUGAUUAUCAGAGCCAUAGUCAUGGAUUUGCUCCAUGUGCUAUAGUUGUAUUCAACCAAAGGUUGUGGCACAAGGACAACACUAGGUUGAUCUGAAAGGUGAAGGUAAAGCUAGUGAUCAACCUAGUGAUUGGGAUGAUCCCAUCUUGUGCUUGAAGUUGUGCUUCUUUGGUUUUCGUCUCCCAUAGAAGUCGGCUAAAGGGUUUGUGUUUUAUUUUGAUACCUAGAUUAAUGCUCUGAUACCAUGAAGAGAAUGAUAUUCUUAUUAUAUUCAGAGUAAGUAGAGUUUACAAUUUAUACUAAUGGUUUAGACUAUGAAUAAGUAAACAAGUAAUUAAAUAUUCAAUUAUAGUAUUUGACUAAGCUAACUACCUAUUAUGUACUUGAUUUCCUAUUCUGUUUGAUUUCCUAUAUUGUGCUUGAUUGUCUUUAACAAUCAUGUUGUCUUUCUUGAGCAUAUACAUUUCUUUUCUAUUCCAUCCACUACUCAUAACUUGACUAGAUCUGAUAUUAUUCGUAUAGAUCCAUUUUUUGAGGAUUCUUAUAAUAUAUCAUCACAGGUUCCUAGUACCUCAGAUACCCUUUCCCAUGUUAAACCAAUUUGUUCUCAUCAUCCUGCAAGUACUGACACUUUACUCUCUAGCACACCUGAAGCUCCAUUCUCAUCUACAGCCCCUCAAGCUUCAUAUGAGAUUGUGGAUCUAUCUCUAUGUCAAUCCAUAUGCAUUUGUAAGUCCACAAAACUACCAGAUUUUGCUUAUUCUUAUUAUUCUUCAUCAUUUACUUCCUUUUUAGCUUCUAUUCAUUAUCUCUCUAAGCCCUCUUCCUAUAAAGAGGAAAUUCUUGAUCCUCUUUGACAACAAGCUAUAGAUGAGGAACUUUCUGCUUUAUAUAAAACAAAUACUUGGGACUUGGUUUCUCUACCUCCUAGUAAGAGUGUUGUUGGUUGUCAUUGGGUGUAUAAGAUCAUGACUAACUCUAAUGGGUCUAUUGAGCGAUACAAAGCUACGUUGGUUGCAAAAGGUUACUCUCAACAGUAUGGUAUGGAUUAUGAGGAGACAUUUACCCCUAUUGCAAAAAUGACUACUAUCCGUACUAUUAUUGUUGUAGCUUCGGUUCGUCAAUGGCAUAUCUCACAACUUGAUGUUAAAAAUACCUUCUUGAAUAGAGAUCCUGAAAGCAUUUGUAAACUCUAGGUAUGUUUGUAAGCUCAAGAAAGCGUUAUAUGGUCUCAAACAAGCACCUCGUGCUUGGUUUGAUAAGUUUUCUAUUGUGAUCUCAUCUCUUGGAUUUGUUUCUAGUAGUCAUGAUUCUGCUCUUUUUAUUUAGAGCACUAAUGCAAGUUGUAUCAUUUUAUCCUUAUAUGUUGAUGACAUGAUUAUUACUGGUGAUGACAUUGAUGGUAUCUUAGUUUUGAAGACAAAGCUGGCUAGACAGUUUGAAAUGAAAGAUUUGGGUUCUCUUCGAUAUUUUAUGGGUAUUAAGGUAGCUUACUCACCUAGAGGUUACCUUCUUUCUCAAUCAAAAUAUGCUGCAUAUAUUCUUUCUCAUAUGUUGUUCAUGUUGUUAGUCAAUUUGUUGCUUCUCCUACUAUUGUUCACUGGGCAAUUGUUCUUCGUAUUUUACGAUAUCUUCGAGGUACAGUCUUCAAAGCCUCUUACUUUCAUCCAUCUCUUCCUUGAAGCUGUAUGCAUAUUUGAUGAUGAUCAUGGUAGUGAUCCCACAGAUCGCAAAUCAGUUACUGGUUUCUGUAUCUUUUUAGGUGAUUCUCUUAUCUCUUGGAAAAGCAAGAAAAAAUAUAUUAUUUCUCUAUCCUCAACCGAAGCAGAAUACCGUGCUAUGACAUCUACUACCAAAGAUGAUUAUUUGGUUAUGUUGGUUACUUCCGGAUAUGAGAGUUUUACUUUCUCAUCCUACUCAUAUGUUUUGUGACAACCAGAGUUUUAUUCAGAUUGCUCACAACUCAGUUUUUCAUGAACGAACUAAGCACAUUGAGAUUGAUUAUCAUCUUACUUAACAUCAUCUCAAGCAUGACACCAUUACUUUGCUUUUUGUUUCUUCUUCCUUGCAGAUUGCAAAUUUCUUUACCAAGUCACAUUCCAUUUCUUGUUUUCGUUUUCUAGUUGACAAACUCUCGAUGCUUGUAACUGCAAAACCCUUUAAUAGCAUAAAUGAUAUCUAGAAGUACAACUCUUAAUAUGAUAAAACAUGGAAUGAAAAUCUUUACAUGUCCCCAUCUUUUACCUGUCUCAAAAUUUAUAUCGUGAAAGGACAUGAAUGGGACAAUUCUGUUCGUAUGAAUCACAUACUAAAUACAAAGACAAUUUUCAAGUUUACAGUCAAUAGAAGAACCCACCAAAUGGUUUCUUGCAUAUAGUACUGUAGUGAUACUCGUGGAAAGAAUGCUUGCUUCAGUCCCGCGCUGAUUUGCUUGACCAAUCAGAAUAUAUCCUAGAUUGACGGAGAGCGUGUUGCAAAUAUGUUUAUGGACCGGAUAUAUAAGGCCAAUUUGGUUAUUACUUGACUUGCUGCUGCCAUUGUUAUUAACAAGCAGUUGGUUGCUAUAGAGACAAAAACUUGUCUAUCUGACAACAGUAGAGAAUGAUUCAUGAAGAUAUCAGAAUUCCUUCCAAACGAAUCAUUCCUUCUAAUUGCAAACACAUGGAUGGGUCCCCUCCUCUCCAUGAAUGCUUACAACAAAUCAUUCUCUUAGACUUGACAGCGCCUGACCUAGGAAGCAAACAUAUUGAUCCCUGGGGAAGACGGCACUGCAGUUUCUCAGAUGAUGCAAACAAUUACUACAGUACACAAGAAAGGUAAACCCAAGAAACAGUAUCAUAAAAGGCAAAAAGGUCGUGAAAAAAAUGAAAAUAGUUGAAACAGUCAGCAAUUCUUAACCACAACAGCAGUUCGUUUUGUCCUCUAAUGUUAUGAGAGAGAAUCGUUGUAAUUCUUCUACUAUCUUUAAUAUUAACAGUAAUAAUUGAAAUUAAAGGGUUCAAGCUCUCAUCCCUUUCCAUUACAUAUUAUAGUUUUAAGCCCCGGUCGGGGACCGAAUCAAUUGUUUUUAUUAAAAAAACGUUUCUUAGUAUAUAUUAAUUGGACCGAGUUUAACCGCAUCAGCCUCUCACAGUUCAUUUCAUUGUGGUUUCAAUACAGUUUACUGUAACUGCAUCAGGAAUGGGGCAGAACAAUAAAAGAUUUCCAUGAUUCAAUGACCGUCAGAGUUGUCUAGUUACAUGGAGUAUGGAGGAUCCAUUAAAGCUAGCAAAGAUCUCUACUAAAUCAAAUAGUUGUUUGAAACUGGGAAGUGUCCGGCCCCACUGUAAUCAAAGGCAUCCCUUGCUUGCAUCGUCAUAGUUGUUUGCUAGUCAUUUAAAUUGACAGAAAUAAAUUUUGGCCAGUCAAGAGAUUAGAGCCAAAGAAAACUCUACAAAAUAUUUGAACUCACUCGUGGAAAGAAUGCAUGCAUUCAGUCCCGCGCUGAUUUGCUUGACCAAUCAGAAUUUUUACCUGAUUUGUUAGUCAGAGGAAUAAUAUAUCCUAGAUAGAUUGAUGGGAAAGUGUUGGAAAUAUGUAUAUAGAACAAAUAAAUAAGGCCAGAUAAAAAUAUAUCAUCCUAAAAUAUCGAUGGAAAAAAUCCAAAUUUUAAUUUUGUUUGUAUUUCUAGUAGUAAAUCAUGCAUUGGCUAAAGGAUCCAUGAACCUGUCAACAUAAAGAAAAAUAUCGAAUACCUUUUGUUUUUAUACACACACACACAUCAACUCGAAUUAGACUUUUCCCAAUUUUUUUAAUAGCUAGAUUUUAUACAUAAAUGACUAGCCAUCGUCAACACUUGUGCUCAUCGCAUCACCAUACAGCUCAGCACACCAAGAAAACGAAUCUCAUAUUUGCUCGGUUGGUGUGCUUACACGGUCAUCAAGGUCAGCCACAAAUGCGACCUUGGCUCUUGCAGCUCUGAUCAACUCUCGCAUUCAUAUCAAGGAGCAAGCUCAUGUUCUCAACCUUCAUUAUCUUUUCAUGAUCAUCAACAUGAUGAAUCUGUGGUCAAGGAUCUUAUCAGUAUGCUUGAUUCAACUAACUGUUUGGUUGGGUUAUUUCACUAGGCUUCACAAAGAAUGGUGAAGCGUAACAAUCCUAGAUAUAUAUACAAGCUUCGAUUGAAUGAUAUCAGUGGUUUGGUUGUUGGAGAUAUUGGUUAUUAUCAUUCAGAACGAGAUAUCAUCAUCGAAAUCUUGGCAGGGACUUUGCAAAGGAUCUCAAGAUUACAUCAAAAAAUUAUUUCCUUGCAAUAUUCUCUUCUUUUUCCCUCCGAUGAAGAUGGUAAUCAGACUAACAUUAGCUUUGCCAACCAAGAUGACCAGGUUUCUCGAAAACGCUAAGAAGUUUCAAUGAGAGCUUUAUAUGCUUAUCUUCUUCAUGAAGGAGAAUAUGGUAAAGACACUAUUACAAAAGACGAUCGUCGUCUUUACCAUUAGUUCUUAGUCGAUGCAUUUACAAAUGUCGAAGAAGUUAGGCUUGAUUGCAUUAGACCAAACCAGAAUGAUCUUGGAACUGAGCUCUAUCAAGACAUUAAUAAAGUUGUUCUUAGAGAGGAUGUUCAAGGGUUGACAACUGGAAAAAUUAUUGCCCCCUCUUCUUUAACUGGCAGUCCACCAUACAUGACAAACAACUACCAAGAUGUCAUGGCUAUUUGUAGAACAUAUAGAAAUCCAGAUCUAUUCAUUACGUUUACAUGCAACACAAACUAGCUUAGAAUUAGAAGAGAGCUUAGAAAAGUGAGUUUAUAAGCAUGAAGACAAGCCUGAUAUAAUUGCACCUGUUUUAAGAACAAAUGAAGAAAAUUAUGAGUGAAAGAGUUUCACUGUUCUUAUUAAUUACAAGUAGAGUUACACACAUAUAUAUAGAGAAAUCUUUCGCCAGCUAUUCUUACAAUCCUUCUAGGAUAGAUAUCCUAUUAGCAACAGGAUAUACAUGUACAUGUCAGGUCUUUAACUUAUGAUUAUAUAUGGAAUUAUCCUUAAUUGCUAACGACCCCCACAAUUUCAGAAACUAAUGAGAGUGUCACGACCCGAAUCCCGGGUCCAUGACCGGCAACACAGGAGCGGUGUAGAAAGGACACCCCACCUACGGUAAGCUUCAAAACAGACAUAUCAAAAGAACAAUUUAUUUAAAAAUACACAACAUUUUAUAAUCUUUAGAAAUAUUAUAUUAUUCAAAACUGAUAAAACCAAAAGAUAGUUUAAAACUCCUCAUCAGUAAUUAAAACAAAAAUAAUAAUCCAUAAUACUUAUUACAUUCUCAAAAUCCAAACUUAAUUAAAACAAGGUAAUAGUGGAGCGUCUAAGACGUCGAAUCAAAACUAAAAAUGAAAGCCUCGCAAAAUAAGCAAAGCAUACCGACCAAAACUGAAGAAGCAGGAACACUCUACAAGUCCAACUGCUAUCAGAAACUAAGAACCUGAAAUAAUAUUAAGAAUGAGAGGUGAGUUCAAUCAACUCAGUGAGGGAAUAAUAUUUAAUAUACAUUUUAGAUAUUAAUAGUUUGCAAGAUGAUUUAUCUUGAUAUACAUAUACAUAUACAUAUAUAUACUAAACAUAUUAUCAUAACGUAGUGGAAUACAUGUCAGAGAUCAGAUGACACCCGAAGGAUACCAGAUGACACCCGAAAGUGACCACUGUGGGAUGAUCAGUCGCCACAGGUUGAUGCCUCUCUCACCAGCUAGGUAUACAGAAUACUAUGUGCACAUAAGCUAACUACUCUCUGUUAGCAUGGAGUUACUAACAAGUCCUAUAUCAAGGCAUAAUAGAUAUUUACAGAAUCAUCAAAGAUAUGUAUAUCAUACCAAAUAGAAUUUAGUUCGAAAGAUUGCGAGUGAAAAUUCAAGAAUAAAUGAGUACUCGGAAAAUAAAGCAACAUAUAUAAAUAUUCAAGAAAUUAACUAUUUGUACUCAUUGUAUAAUCAACAUAUAUAUUUAUUUAUAAUAUAUGCAUAUUAAAGAUUAUCCCACUCACCCGGAAAAUAUAGAACUAAAAGGAAUAUCAAAUGAAAGACCCGAAAAACCUAUUGAGGAUAGUUAGGAGAACCUACAAUAAAUAUAUGAAAUAUACUCAAAAGCAACUCAAAGCAACACAAUUAAAAGAUUUCAAUGCAUAAAGAAAACCAGGUUUAGUCUCCAAGGUUUAGGGACUAAAACGACAAUUAUCCAAAAUAGGGACCAAAAUGUAAUUUUACUAAAAUUGGAGGACCAAACUAUAAAUACAUAACCAUACUAAAUUUUCAUUUUCACCCAUAAACCAUCCUAAAUUCUGUAUAGAACGAAUCAGGGACCGAAUUGUAAUUUUCAUAAAGUCGAGGGACAAAAAUGUAAAUUCCCAAAAUUGAGGGACCAAACUAAAAAUAUUCCAAAUCAAUUAUCAAACUGAGAUUCAUCAUCAUUAACCUCAUAAUAACACUUUCCAGAAUCUCAAAAUACAUUUAGGGGUCAAAUUGUAAUUUUUUCAAAGUUUAGGGACUAAACUGAAAUUUUCAUAAAUCAAGGACCAAAAUAAAAUUUGGUCAUCUUCAACCUCAAGACCAUUCUGUCUAGAUUUUACAGCAAGGUAAAAAUGAAUUUCUUAACCCCAUAAGAAUUAAUUUAAACAAAUCAACUCACAAAUUCUUAUUUCUAUCAACAUACUAAUUAAUCACCUAAUAUUAAAUUAACCCUUAAUAAUCAUAAAUCAAUCUUAACAACAUAAACUUCUAAGCCUUAUAAACCCUAAUAUCUUCUUUAAUCAUUCUAUAAACAAACUAUAAUCAAAAGUAAUAUGAAAGAGAACCACUUACUUGCUAUUUCACCUUUCUUGAACCGAAAACUCAAGAUCAAAAACUAAAAUCUUAGGUUUGAGGAGGGAAGGGUCAUGGCGGCUACAAGAAUUAGAAGAGAGAAAAGUAAUUCUCUUGCAACUCUUCCUUAAAUACCUAGGUUAACUUAGGUUGGGUUUGGACUGACUUGGACUUAGGUUUGGGCCAAAAGUUUGGGUCUUACAGAGAGUGUACAAGCACAGGACACAAGAUAUUUGCAGGACUCAAGUUGGAUCCAAAGGAUUAAUGGAUCCAAGCUUGCUCAAUAGCUAGUGAAAUUAAGUAGACAACAAAACUUUGGUAAACACAUCUGCCAAUUAAUCAUUUGUACGCACAUAAUGAGUAGCAAUAAGUUUUGACUGAACUUGUUGCUGAAUGUAGUGACAUUCAACUUGAAUGUGCUUAAUUUGUGCAUUCAUGAAAAACAGGAUUAGAUGCAAUGUGUAUGGAUGAUUGAUUAUCACAAUAAAGAGUCAUGAGAAUACUGCACGGAUAGCCUAGAUCGAUUAAAAGGCGAUUAAGCCAUACAAGCUCACAUGCAGCUGAUGCCAUAGAGCAAUAUUCAGCCUCAGCGCUAGAAUGAGCCACCACACGUUGUUUUUUACUUUUCCACAAAACUAGGUUACCACCAACAAACAUUCAAUAACCCUUAGUUGAUCUACAAUCAAGUGCAUUUCCAGCCCAAUCAGAAUCAAAGUCUCCUAUAAUGUUCGUAUGUCCGUUAUUAUUCAUAAUGAUGUCACGACCAAUAGAUCCUUUCAAAUAUCAAAGAAUGUGUUUCAAACCAUCAUCUUAAAGCAAGUCUACAACAUAUUUUUUUUUAUUUAGAAAUAACCAUUUGCUAUUAGUUGUCAUUUCAAUUCCAAGGAAAUACUUUAAAUGCCCAAGAUCCUCGAUUGCAAAUUGGAGUUGGAGAUUCUUUCUCAACAAAGCAAUAGAAUCAAUAUUAUUACUUGUGAUGAUGAGAUCUUCGUAUAUAUAAGCAUCAUCAGAUUAUCAUUUGUAUUAAGUCGAACAUAAAGUGAAGAAUUGGCCAAACUCCUUGUAAAACCGAGAGCUUCAAGAGCAGUACUUAGUUUAGCAUGCCAAGCAUAAGGACUUUGUUUCAACCUAUAAAUAGAUUUAUAUAAUUGACAAACCAUUUUGGAAUCUCCACCUUAAGGAUGUCCUGGUUGAAGCUUCAUAAAAUCUUCUUCUUUAAGAUUUCCGUGUAGCAAUGCAUUUUUAACGUCCAUUUGUGACAUUGCCCACCCAUUAUUGAUAGCUACAGAUAAAAAAACUCUGACAGUGGUCAUUUUGGCAACUGGGGUGAAUGUCUCUUUGUAAUCAAUGCCAAAUUUCUGAGUAAAUCCUUGAGUAACAAGAUGAGCUUUGUGUUGAUCAAUCGAGCCAUCAGAAUUGAAUUUAGUUUUGAAUAUCCAGCAACUCCCAACUGCAUGUUUUCCAUGAGGAAGAGGAACAAUACUCCAAGUUUUAUUUUCCUCGAGAGUUGUCAGUUCUUCUCCCAUAGCCUUUUGCCAGAUACCUUGAGAUUGAGCUUCUUAAAAGUUUUUGGGUUCAUGAACACUGGAGAUCGUUGAAAGGAAAGUCAUGUGCAAUGGUGAGAAUCUUUGAUAAGUCAAGAAUUUAUUAAUUGGAUACCUGACUGUAUAGACAACAUAAUCUUGCAAUUUAGCAGGAGGGUGAUGAGUUCGUUAUGGAUUACAUCGCAGAGGUUCUGCUCUAUGUUGAACAUUGGAUAAUUGACGUUCCAUGGAGUCGAUAAUACCUGCUGGAAGAACAUUACCAUAUGACUCGAUGUUGUUAUUCGAGACAGUCAUAGGGGAUGAUGAAUUUGUAGUGUGAUCCGUAGCUGGUUUAAGCAAAUCAAUAGAAUUCUCAAUGUGAGGAUCAACACUAAGUAGGGGGGAAAUCCAAGAGUAUAUCUUCUUGACUAGUGCCUUCAAAAUAAGGACUAGUUUCAACAAAUCGAACAUCUCUAGAGAUAUAUAGCUUCUUGGAUUUAGGCUCAUAACACUUGUACCCUUUCUUAGGUUGCAAAUAACCCAGGAAUAUGCAUUUAACAGCUCUGGGAUCAAGUUUAUCACGUUGAGUAACUGGUACAUGUAAGUAACAAGUGCAACCGAACACUUUAAGGUAUGACACAUCUUAUUUUUUGUCCUUCAAAACUUCAAGAGAACAUUUGAAAUCCAGCACUUCACUGGGUAAAUGAUUUAUAAGAUGAGUGGCAGUACAAUUCUCAUAUCUAUAUUGUUUUGUAACAGGGAUAUCACAUAAUCAAGGUGUUUAGGAAAUCCCAUUCCAGGGGUUCACAUAUUUUAAAAGGUGCUUUCUAAUAGUAUGUCUUAGGUAUUAUGUUGAAUAUUUGCCAUUCAGCAUUUUUGUAAGGACUUGUAAUGAAAAUUGUAAUGGGACACGGAUUUGGAUUUGUGAAUAUAUAGAUACGAUGUUAUAAAUAUAUUAUGUGGUAUUCUCUCUUAUAAGGAUGUUGUGUUGUAAAAUCACAUUAGGAUCAUAUGAAAGAAACAACUAGCUGUGUAAAAUUGAUAUUCGGCACUCGGGUAUAAACUUUUGUUGAUAACGAAACUAGGACAAGAAUGCAAACUCAUGCGUAUGUCAAUAUAAAGUACUGUAAGUGUAUGAAUAUGAAAAUAUAAUAUUGCGGGCAUGUGUAUUGAUCUUUUAUCUUAUGAGAAUGUUGAUUUAUGAAAGCUAUGUCCAUAUGAUGCCAUGAUAAGGAAGGGAACCUAAUUACUAAUUCAUGAAGUGCCAUUGUGAGCAUUAUCGAGAACCAAAAAAAAAUUCCAUCAAUUUUGGCUUUGAAAAAGCCAGGUCAUUACAAAACAACUCAAGGUAGACAGAAGAGUUAUGUGGAUAAGAGGAGGCAUGCCUUAGAGUUUUCAAUGGGUGAUUGUGUGUUCUUGAAGGUAUCACUAACCAAAUAAGUAUUCAGAUUUGGAAAGAAAUGCAGGUUAAGUCCUUGAUUCAUUGAACCGAAUGAGAUUCUAUAGAAAGUUGAAGCAGUUGCUUAUAUUUAGUAUUUUCAAAUUGGUUUGAUGAAUAAUUGAGGGUUAUUUAGUGAAUCAUUGUCAUGUAUUAUUAUUUUUUCUUAUGAAUUAGAUUUCGGGAAAAUUGUUUAAUUUUUGGGUUUUUGGAAAAAAUGACAAGCUUAGUCCAAAAACAUAUAAGGUUAUGGAAUAGACCCUUAGUUAAGUGUAUUAAAUAGGUUUUAAGUUCUUUUUGAAUCAUUUUUUAGUAUGUCUAUUUUUAUAUUCAGAUAAUCCUGAUAUUCUACCUACGGGACAUUAGUAUGAUUUCCUUCGGUAAUUGCUUUUGAGUUAGGUGAGUGGAUAAUUUUUCAUAUGCAUGAGAAAUAUUAUAAAUAUUUGAGUUGUUAAUAUGAAUUGGAUCAUGCUUCUUGAUAAUAUAUACGUUGGUUAUUAUCCUUGUUACGAUAAAGCGUGAUUAAUUAUUUAAUCUGAAUUCUUGAUAUGAACCAAUAUAUAUUUUUAAUUGACUUCUGAAUUGAUAGCUCCUCAUUUGAUUGAUGUCAGGAGUUGAGCUUUAAAAUAUGAAUAUAUUUGUUUGAUUAUGAUUAUGAACUUAUGGUAUGCCAAUCGGAAUACCCAUGUUAACAGGGUAGUCUUAGUCUUUGUGCACAUCGUAUCUGAACCCUAGCUGGUCGGGGGAGUCAUCAACUUGUGUGGACUGAUCAUCCCACAGUACGGAGCCUCAUGCUCAUUGCAUUUUUAUUUUUUCACGAGCCUUACCUUAUGAUAUUCUUGUUAUGGCUUAUUUGAGAAGCCUUCUUAUAAGAACCUAGACCCAUAAUUGUAUAUAUAUUUCUCAUUAUUGUAUUACCUCGUGUAUGUAUAUUGAAUAUUAUCUACUCACCAAGUUGUUGAACUCACAUUCUCAUUAUUUAUCUUUUCCAUGCUUAUAGCUUGUAAGCAAGUCACUUUUGUUAAACCUUCAGAACCUGCUUUUUUUGUUGUAAUUUGUAUUUUCCUUUAUGUUUAGUUAAUGCUCCACAACUAUGAAUUUGUAUUAACUCUUGUAUUAAGAUAAUCAAUUAUAUUAUGAAGUUAGUUUUGUUGUGUUGAACUUUGAUUGACUUAUUUAAAGGAUAAGUUUGUAUGUAAGUUUGGACAGCCACGCCCUAAGUCUAUCUCUUUCACGCUAAGUCGUCGCCCUAAGUUUGUAUGUAAGAGAAACCCUAAGUCUAUCUCUUUCACGCUAAGUCGUCGCCCACAUGAUCCAAAACCUUUUCUUCUCCCUCACCCAAGUGGCUCACUAGCCCCUCGGCAAAAAAAAAUAAAAAAUGGUCGCCCCCUCACGAGGCCCCCCUUCUCUAUGACAAAAAAAAAAAACAAAAAACAAAAUGGCUAGCGCCCCUUUCCCCCUAGCUUUUUCCCAAUCUUCUUCUCCUUUCCAGCGGUCGCUCCCCCUCUCGCCUGCGAAAGCGUUUUGGUCUCCUAGCCUUUCCCAGCCGGUUACAAGACAACCCCCUCAUUUCCCCCAACUAGAGAACGGGUAGAGACGGUCCGCCCUCUUAUUCGACUGAAACCCCCCAGCCGGGAACGCCAUUUAUUCCCUCAUCAACAGACUUCCAGACCCUCUCUCGGCCAACCACCUUCAACUGGCCGACUGCAAUGUCUGUUACCCCUUCAGUCUCCUCAAUUAUAGCAACCAAAACAACGGCAUCCACAAAUCCAACGUCAUUUCUCCUUCCCCAGCUGGACAGCCACGCCCAUCUUCACCGAGGAAUUAGUGGCCAUGGACGACAACCAUCAAAUCUAAAAAAGGAGAAGACCAAGAACAAACCUACCACCUAGAGAAGAAGGAGAAAAUGGCAAGUCAGAUAAAAUAGAAGUGAAACGGAUCUAAACAAGGAUUAAAAUCGACUGGCUUGUGUGUUUUUCUUUUUUUGUAGAUGACGGUGGGUGUCACUGCCGACAGGGAAGGGAAGAGGAGAAGCAGCUGAGCCAUACCCACCUGGUUUCCUAGAUUUUUUACGGCGGCGCGUGAACCCACGCGCCGCCAGUGGUGAUGGCACGUGGGAAUGACGCGUCACCACUGUUCCCGCGCCCAUAAACCUUCCUCAACAUUGUUCCUGUAGAUUCCAGAAGGCUUUGGAUUUUUUUGUGUUUAUUUUGUAAUUUUGUUGAAAUGUAUUUGAUUUAUUUUGAAUUUUUGUUAUUUUGGAACAUUGGUUGUAUGUGUAAAAAUAUAAUAAAAGUAAAUGUGUGAUUGUAUUUUUAUUUUAUGAAUGUUUUUAUUUAAUGAUAAAAUUGCAAAGAAUAAAGAAGAAUUUAAUAUUUUGAUUUGCUCACGCUUAAGGAUUAUGAACUUACAUGUAAGUCAUAUUUCCAACAUCCGAUGAAGAGACAAGAUUUUUAAACCAUCUUUAACACAUCAAAGCCACGAAGCAGCUUACCUCAGGUAGGGUGUGUUAGGGAUGCUAAUACCUUUUCUAACCACAACCAAUCCCUUACCCGUGAAUCUCUGACAAGACCAAUACAUUCGGAUUUCCUAGUAACCCUCAAAUAAAUACUAGGUGGCGACUCCCAAGAACAAAUCAAGCAAAUAAAAAGAAAAUCACCAACAGACGUCGCGCAGGUGACGUGCGACAACACCAUAAUUUGAUUCCAUUAGAAGAUCUUAAGAGGUCAUUUCUUGUAUAAGAGAAGUUUGAAUCCAGAGUAUGUAACCAAAUAGCAAUCCGAUGAAUGAUGAUGGCGAAACAAUCAAACAAGCUUAUAGUUCUCUCCUCAAAAAUAAUUUUGUUCCUCAACAACUAAAUGCCCCAAGUAAUACUACUGGAGAUUAGUCUCCAAGCUAAUCUUUGGAAUUUACCUUACACCAUUCAAGGCCAUUACAGAAGCAGCGAGUAUAGUGUGCUUAGUAAACAAUAUUGGAUACCUCACCAAUCCAAAAAUUUCAUCCAAACACUCUUAGGAAAGUUACAGUGUAUAAAAAUAUGCUUUGAAGUUUUCAAAUCUAAGUAGCAAAAGACACAUGAAGCUUGUGUGGCGGGCAAAACAUUCUGGUGAUGGAGAAAAGCUCUUGUACUAACUUUGUCUUAAACUGCCACCUAGAGGAACACCUGAACUUUCAGAAGGGCCCUUUUAAUCUAGACGUUGGCUUCAAAAACUCUAUCAUUAGCUAAAAAGGUACUAUCAAUUAGGGUGUAACAGGACUUAAAUGAGAAACUUCCAUUAGAAUUACAUGGCCAUAUGAUUUUGUCAUCUUCUCCAAUGUAGUAAUUGAAGCUUCAUAUUUUUAUGGUAUUGUAACCAGAAGUUUUCAACAAUUCUAGACUCUGUAAAUGAUGUUCCCAGCAACUUGAUUCUGUUUACAAUUCCAAGCUAGCUGAAGUGGAUUCUGCUUCAGCAUUGGGGUUUAAACCAGAAAGAUGCAAGAUAUUCUCAAUCUCUUUCACCACUUCACCCAUUGUUGGCCUGUCACUUCCUUUCUCUUGUACACAUUUCAUUGCCAGAUCCACCAUCUUUUCUAGACCUUUUGGCAUCGUGUCUAAACGAAUGCUUGGGUCAAGAAGUUCAUGAAGGUUAUAUAGAUCUUUUUUUCUAUCCAAUGAGCUACUUACCUCCGCUGCAAGGUAUUUCCCUCGCUCCAAAGGCUUUCUUCCACUUACUAGUUCCAGCAACACAACUCCAAAGCCAUAGACAUCACUCUUCUCAGUCAAGAGCAGGGUCGUCUGAUAUUCUGGAUCUAUAUAACCCUAAGCAGAAAAUAUAGUGAUCUUGUCAAUUGUAACCCUUGAUAUUGGCUUUAAUCAUAGACCAGCAAGCGGCCUGCAUAUAAUGAAACUAGAUAGUCUUAAAUUCUUCAAGUUUUGGAGGUACUGACCAUUGUCCCCUUAACUUGAGUGCUAGCAAGAAUAAGCUCACUAUUGUCCAUAGGCUUGGAAAGACCAAAAUCAGCAACUUUAGCAUUUAAGCAUUCAUCCAGUAAUAUGUUUGCUGAUUUUACGUCCCUGUGGAUAAUACGAGGGUUGACAAACUCGUGCAAGUAGGCAAGACCUCUUGCUGCAUCAAGAGCCACUUUAAGUCUCCUCCUCCAAUCCAGCCAGAUCCCGCUCAAACCUGCUAACAUGAGAAGAGGAUAUAGAAUGCGUGUGCUUAUUUCCGGAACAAAGGCACCAAAGGGUUGUCAUGGAAAACUCAAUGCUUGUAAGAAUAUUGAAAGGUUCCAUGUGCAAUACCUGAUAGGCUGUCCCUGAGACUACCAUUGCGAACAAACUCAUAAAUUAGCAUCUGUUCACCUCUCUCAAAGCAAAACCCAACAAGGUUUAUAACAUUUUUAUGAUGAACUCUCGAUAAAACUUCUAUCUCUGCGUUGAAUUCAUGCCCACCUUGCACCGAUCCUUGUCGACAUCGUUUGAUGGCAAUCAGUUGUCCAGUAGGAAGCAUCCCUCUAUAAACCUGUACACAAAAAUGUUGAAAGGUUACUUUCAAAUGCUCAUUCUUAAGGUUUGGUAAUCCAUGCCAGCUCAGAAGUUAGAUAGUUUGAAGGAAAAUUGCAACCAGCAACACCCACAAUCAUUGUUUAUGCAAAUGAAACCACCAAGGCAGGACAGGAAAAGAGGGAGAGACUUGCCAUUCCGUAACCCCCUGAUCCAAUAUGAUUGGCUUCCGAGAAGUUAUUGGUGCUCUUCGUAAUCUCAUCGAAAGAGAAGCAUCUGGCUCCCUUCAACUGAGGAACUCUGUCACUGUUCUUUAAAUCCAAGGAUGCUGCAAUUUGGCAAAAUAAAGAAAAAGAAAUAAAUCAGCAAUUUUCGAUGAUGAACGGGAAAAUAUCAGGUCUAAAAACUAGAACCUUAAAGAACCAAUAUGACUCUUAUGUUUACUUGCUCUUUCUCUUCUUUUUUUCAGACGAUAAGCAUAUACCCCUGCAAGAAGCAAUAGUAGCAGGAAAGAGGCUCCUCCAGCCGCAGCCCCAACGAUACCUCCAAUGAUUGGUAACUUGUUUGAUACCGCGGGUUUUCCAGCUUGAAAAAGAGGGAGGGAGGGAGGGAGAGGGAUGAGUCAUCAUAAGAAAGAAAGAUCAAUGUAGGCAAAUAUUUUUCACUUGUGCAUGAAAUUGAAAUUACCUAUUGGAAUCAACAACUAAUUAAACAAUCAAAAGAAGAUCAACAACCUGCAGACGUAUCACUGCUCACAGCACCCUAGCAGAAAUUCAAUUCUGCAGCCUUCACAUACAUAUGUAAAUACGGUUAACAGUUUUCUUAGUUAGUUAAAAGUUAGUUAUCAACCGUACAGAGUCAGUUGAGAUUUCUAUGUUAGAAUAUGUGUAUAUAUUCAUUCAUUCAGUCAGUUUGUAGGUAACAAUUUUGUACAGAGCAAAACCUCUGCAUGCAGAUAAUUCAAGAUAUUACUUUUCUCUUGAUUUCAAAUCAAGAGUCUUCAUUCUUCUGAUCUGUCAAAUCUUCCUUUAUUCUUUGCAUUCCUCACGUAGGAAUUCUACAUGGUAUCAGAGCAAUAAAGAUUGUUCUUAUCUUCAAACUCUUCUUCAAACUCUUCUUCGCAUAAACAGAAAGAUUAAAAUUCUUUAAACCUCACAUUUUUUUUCUCAUCUUCUUGAUCUUCUCAAAACUUCAAACAUGUCUGAUCAUCUUGAAGGAAAUGCUUCUACAGCACACAAUGAAACUUUCAACACCACUUCUAUGAAUCUGUCUGAUGAUUCCUCCAGCUGCUACUACCUGCACCCGUCUAAUAACCCAGGUGCACUUCUUGUCUCAGAAAUUUUCACAGGCGAAAAUUACAUUGCAUGGAGUAGAUCCAUGACAAUUGCCUUAACAGUGAAGAACAAAAUCUCCUUCAUUGAUGGUUCCUUAAUACAGCCAAUUACCAACAAUCAAUCACUGCGAGUGGCAUGGCUAAGAUCAAAUAAUCUUGUACUAUCAUGGCUGAUGAACUCUAUUGCUAAAGAUAUUCGCAGCAGUCUUCUUUACUUCACAUCAGCCUACGAUAUUUGGGAAGAACUGAGAGUUAGAUAUCUGAGGAGUGAUGGACCAAGAGUUUUCAGUUUAGAGAAGUCUUUAAGCUCUAUUUCUCAGAACUCUAAAACCAUUACAGACUACUUCAGCGAAUUCAAAGCCCUGUGGGAUGAAUACAUUAGUUUUCGUCCAAUACCAAACUGCAAAUGUGGAAAUCUUGAUUCUUGUUCUUGUAACAUUUUUAAAACAUCUAACAGAUCGACAGCAAUCAGACUAUGUGAUGAAAUUCCUGGUAGGACUCCAUGAUUCUUUUUCUGCAGUCCGAAGCCAAUUGCUGCUUCAAACUCCCCUACCAUCUAUGGGGAAAGUAUUUUCUCUGCUUCUGCAAGAAGAAAGCCAAAGGUCCCUGACAAAUAUGGUAGGCAUUUCUAUUGAUUCACAAGCCAUGGCUGCUGGACAAUAUCACAAUCCAAAUCACAGGUCAGGUUCAACAUAUGUUACACGAUUUGCAAAACAAAAAGGAAAAUCUGAGACAACUUGCUCCCAUUGUGGAUAUCCAGGACACACAAUUGAUAAGUGUUUUCAAAUUAUUGGAUAUCCCCCUGGAUGGAAGGGACCAAAAGGGAAAAGAUUUGCUGCAAUGCCACAUACAAAUAGAAAUUAUCAAGCACCACCCAUUGCACACAAUACUGCUGUUUCAGAAGCAAAACAAGAACCUCCCAACAUUGUUUUCUCUCAAGAACAAAUGCAGAAUCUACUUACUCUUGCAAAUAGCAUUUCCAACUCUAAACUACAUCACAAUACUAAGGAGCAAGCAUCCAUCUCAGGUAUAUCAUUUUCUUGUCACACCAACUCUUCACCUCAGAACCAGUUCACUUGGAUUCUCGAUACAGGGGCAACAGAUCACAUGAUCUGCAACCCCAUUCUUUUCGAAUCUAUUCUACUGCCUAAAAUACAAAGGCAUGUCCAUUUACCAAAUGGCCACAAGGUGCCUAUUGCUUUUACAGGAACAGUUACAUUCUCUCCCAAUAUUAUUUUAAAGAAUGCUCUUUAUGUACCUUCCUUCAAUAUUAAUCUUAUCUCUGUUUCAAAACUAACCGCUGACAACACUAUUGGCUUGUUCUUUCUUCACACUAAAUGUUUUCUAGGAUCUAAGCACAUGGAGGACGAUUGGGCUUGCUGAAACUGAAUCUGGUCUUUAUCACAUUCACAAACCCCCUAACCAGUCUAGCAAACACAUCCCCUAGACUUUUAAUCCAAUCUUGUAAUGCUGCCACUGAUUUUUGGCAUUUACGUUUAGGCCACAUUCCUGUUUCAAAACUCAACAUUCUUAAUAAAAUUGAUCCUUCAGUUACUUCAACAGGCAAAACCAUCUGUGACAUUUGCCCCUUAGCCAAGCAAAAACGGCUGCCCUUUCCCUUAUCCAUGCAUACAUCUGCAAAAAUUUUCAAUUAAUUCAUAUUGACAUUUGGGGACCCUUUUCUGUUACUUCUUAUUCUGGUCAUCAAUUCUUUCUCACUAUUGUUGAUGACUACAGUCGGUUUUCUUGGCUCUUUUUAAUGAAAACAAAGGCUGAAACUAGAGGCCUUCUCCAAAACUUUCUAAUCUAUGUUCAUACUCAAUUCAACACCAGAAUUCAGACUAUUCGAACAGACAAUGGACAAGAAUUUAAUAUGCCUACUUUUUACCAAGAUCAUGGGAUCAUCCAUCAAACCACUUGUGUUGAAACUCCCGAACAAAAUGGAAGAGUUGAAAGGAAGCAUCAACAUUUACUAAAUGUAGCUAGGUCCCUCUUGUUUCAAUCAAAACUCCCCCUCACCUACUGGACCGACUGCAUCCUUACUUCAACACACCUUAUCAACCGCACUCCCUCUCUUAUUUUACACCACCAAACACCAUACCAGCUUCUGUUUGAUAAACCACCAACUUAUAAUCACCUAAAAGUUUUCGGUUGCUUGUGUUAUGCCAGCACACUCACUCACAACAGAGGAAAGUUUCACCCCCGAGCCACCAAAUGUAUUUUUUUAGGCUAUCCCCCUCACACUAAAGGAUAUAAACUCCUUGAUUUAACAACAUGCAAAACUUUCAUUUCUCGCAAUGUCUAUUUUCAUGAAUCUACAUUCCCAUCAAUACCAAACACAGUCCACACACCCCUUGUCUUUCCUGACUUUCCUCAAAUUUUUGAUACUUUUACUCCCAAGCCAUCCCCAUCCACUCCAUUCAAUUCUGAUCUUCAAAUAACCUGUGCUCAACCCACUGCACCCUCACCUCAGGUUACUACUUCCCAACCCAGAAGGUCUGCACGACCUAAACAUCCACCUCAUUAUCUACAGCAAUACUAUUGUGGACAUAUGACUAAGAUUCCUUCAGCAAACCCAAGCUCUUCCACUUGCUCCAUCCCUGGUACGCCAUACUCACUCUCAUCUUUCUUAUCCACUUCUCAAUUAUCUUUUAAUCAUCGAGCUUUUACUUCUUCUGUUUCUUUGGUUUUUGAACCAAAAACAUAUAACCAAGCUCGUUCUAUUCCCCAUUGGCAACAAGCAAUGACUGCUGAAAUUAAAGCCCUUGAACAGAACAAUACCUGGGAUUUAGUCCUUCUGCCUUAUAACAAAUCUGUCAUUGGCUGCAAGUGGGUGUACAAAAUCAAAUUCCAAGCUGAUGGACAGGUUGAACGCUACAAGGCCAGAUUGGUAGCCAAGGGCUACACACAACAAGAAGGAAUUGAUUUCUUUGAUACAUAUUCUCCUGUGGCCAAGAUGACAACCGUUAGAGUCUUUCUCACCAUUGCAGCAGUGAACAAUUGGCAUUUACACCAACUUGAUGUGGACAAUGCUUUCCUACAUGGUGAUCUGCAUGAAGAAGUAUACAUGCAGCUGCCCCCUGGUUACUCCACUCCUCAUGAUCCUCGUGUUUGCAAACUCAACAAGAGCCUAUAUGGCCUCAAGCAAGCAUCCAGGCAAUGGUUCUCUAAACUGUCUACCUCUCUACUGCUCUUUGGGUUUGUCCAAGCCAAAUCCGAUUCCAGUUUAUUCAUCAGAAAAACAACCACUACCUUCAUUGCAUUAUUGAUCUAUGUUGAUGAUGUUAUCAUCACUUCCAACACCCUCACAGCCAUCAACCAAGUUAAACACUUCCUUCACCAGACUUUUCCCAUCAAAGACUUAGGAAAACUUAAAUACUUUCUAGGCAUUGAAGUUGCUCGAUCUGCAAGAGGAAUUUUUCUGUGUCAGCGCAAAUAUGCCUUAGAUAUCCUAGCAGAUAGUGGCUUCUCUGGAGCUAAACCAGUUAGCUUUCCCAUGGAAUCUACAUUGAAACUCAGUGCCCAUGAUUCUAGUCCCAUUCUCUCAGACCCUGCAGCUUAUCGUCGCCUAAUUGGCAGACUUCUUUACCUCACAAUCACACGUCCAGACUUAUCCUAUGCCAUCCAAACUCUUAGCCAAUACAUGUCCAAUCCUCACACCACACAUCUCCAAGCUGCAGAACGAGUCCUUCGCUAUGUUAAAGCAACACCAGGUCAAGGAUUGCUUCUCAAAACUGAUUCUACAUUUCACUUAAAAGCAUACUCUGACAGUGAUUGGGCUGGCUGCAUUGAUACCAGACGUAGUGUCACUGGCUACUUAGUAUUUCUUGGUGAUUCCCUCAUCUCCUGGAAAUCCAAGAAACAAGCAACGGUUAGUCGAUCAUCUGCAGAAGCUGAAUAUCGAGCAUUGGCCACAACAUCAUGCGAACUUCAAUGGCUGUGUUAUUUGUUGGCCGAUUUUCAUAUUCUGCACUCCCAGCCUGCCCUCCUUUAUACAGACAGCAAACCUGCUUCCAAUAUUGCUUCCAAUCCUGUUCACCAUGAACGCACCAAGCAUAUCCAACUUGACUGCCAUCUCAUCCGUGAAAAAUGCAGGAGGGAUUGCUCAACAUCAUUUAUAUCCCUUCCAAAUAUCAACUCGCAGACGCUCUCACAAAACCACUCGGUUCUCUCAACCUUACUCCUAUCCUUCGCAAGAUGGGAAUGAUAAAUAUUCAUUCUCAUCUUGAGGGGGGAUAUUGGAAUCAACAACUAAUUAAACAAUCAAAAGAAGAUCAACAACCUGCAGACGUAUCACUGCUCACAGCACCCUAGCAGAAAUUCAAUUCUGCAGCCUUCACAUACAUAUGUAAAUACGGUUAACAGUUUUCUUAGUUAGUUAAAAGUUAGUUAUCAACCGUACAGAGUCAGUUGAGAUUUCUAUGUUAGAAUAUGUGUAUAUAUUCAUUCAUUCAGUCAGUUUGUAGGUAACAAUUUUGUACAGAGCAAAACCUCUGCAUGCAGAUAAUUCAAGAUAUUACUUUUCUCUUGAUUUCAAAUCAAGAGUCUUCAUUCUUCUGAUCUGUCAAAUCUUCCUUUAUUCUUUGCAUUCCUCACGUAGGAAUUCUACAUUACCAUCGAAGUAUGGAUAUGCAGCACCCUUAAAAUAUGAAGGUCCAAAGAUGUCUGGAUUUUCAAUAGUCUGAAGGUUUAGCACAAAUCCAAUUCUAGAAAUCGUAGUUGUGCUAAAAUGAUUUUGGCCCGAAGGAAACACAGAUACGUUCGAUUCAAGAUACCCCAACGAAUCAUUUGUCGGACAAUUUACAUAAACUGAAUCGACAGGAAGGCUAAAGUUCUUCAAGGAAUGCUUCAGAGACUCUUCUACCAGAUGAAGAUAAUCAUUUGGGUUUGUUGACUCUAAAAAUGGAGGUCUGAAGAAUAGUACUCCUGUGUACGGAUAAGAAAAUUUGCUGUUGGGACUGGAAAUCUGAUCUGAAAUGCAGGGGAGGAGAAACGAAGAAAUGCCUUGAUGAACUGUGCAGUAAUGUUCUGAUGCUUCUGCACGCUCACAUACCGGGUUACCCACAAGUCUGCAAAAUUUUACACAUAAAACACUCUUACGCAGGCAAGUAGUAUAGCACAUCUCCUCAGGAUUUAACUUUUCACACUACUAACACUACUAACUUUUCACAUCUCCACAAUAAGAAGAAGAAGAAUGCCUCUUACAUUACAUCCACGUUAUUCCUUUGUUCUGGUGUUUCUGAAUAGAAUGAAAUGAGAUUGUUUCGCAUAUCAAUGGCUUCCAGCUGGCUGCUAGUGCUUCUGGCAAUAUCCAAUGUGCCAUUGAGCUGGUUGUUCAUUAGAAUCCUGUAACCAUUUGUGAAUUUAGAAACAUGGGGAAGGAUGAAAGAAUCUAUCAAUAUCCAUGAAGUUGACUGCUAUGGUACUGAAGAAACAUGGGGAACGAUGCUCACAAAGUCUGUAAACCAGGAAGAUCGAAGAGGGUAGGAGGAAUCUGACCUUCAAGUCCAGUGUUUUCCAUCAUUCUGUUAUUCACAGGAAGGGAAGAAGGCUUCACUACGUUGACAGCGUGAAAAAUCAUAAAUUGUAAACUUUUAUACACAGGAAUGCAUAGUCAGUAAGAGGUACCAUGGACAAAAAUGUCUCUGUCAAAAAAACCAAUGACUGCUUCAUAUAACACUUACUAAACAUGGAGACAAUUAUAAUCUAGCAUGUAAAGUCAUGAUGCCUGAGCAAAAUAUUCUAGUUAAGGCUUCAUUGAGUUGGUCGAGUGUGUGUGUGAUAACAGAGAGAAAAGGAGGGAGGAAGGGAGACAUACAGUGUUGUCAAAGCCCGUAAGUUUGAGAAUGACAACGGAAAAUCUGAAGCGUCAAAACUAUUAUUGCUCAGGUCCCUGGAGAAAAGAUUUUGGUCAAAGUAGGAAUUUGGAGAAAAGUCGAAUUGUAUUCCAUACUGAGAUACCUAACAGAAUAGAAAUCUUACAAGUAGCUGAGAGAAGCCAUGCCAGUGAGAUUAGGAACAGGCCCAGUAAAUUUAUUGUUGGACAAAAUCCUGAAAUUUAUCAGCAAAAAGCACUCUUAACCGAGUGAAAAUCCGCACAAAAGACUAGCCAAACCAUUGUGAUAUCUUUACUGGCAAUGUCGUUUUCUGUAUACUUACAACGUCGCCACAUUGGUAAGAUUGUUGAGGUUUGAAGGGACAGGUCCAGUUAAUGAGUUCCCUUCAAAACGUCUGCAACAAAGACAAGGCAUUCAAUACAAACUAGAUCAGUGUAGAUUAAUCACUUCAGUUUGUCAUGUAGAUGCUUACACAGCCUCCAAAGUGCGCACAAGUCCAAGGGUAGAAGGAAUGCUUCCCGUGAGAUUAUUGUCAUGCAAAAGCCUGCACAAAAGUAAUGUAUAUGAUGUAUAUAGAAUUGUAAACCUUUUAAGGAAGCAUAUUAAAUUAACAAGAAAUAUUGUUUUCUUUUAAAUUAAAUUAAAAUCGCACUUCCUAUUUUCUCCCCUAUUCUCACUAUGAACAAAAUGAAUCCAAUUGUUGUAUUCCACUGGUGAAGUAGUUUGACUUCAACAUCCAAUGCAUAUACAAACUUACACAUGAAUGAGAGUCAUGUCUGAUCUGAAAAGCUCAUUAGGGAUUGCGCCUGAGAACUGAUUCCCUCCUAGAUGACUGAAUAAUUUUCAGACCAGCAUAAACAGAUGUCAAUAAAGCCGAAGCAAGAGAGCACAAAUCAGCUGGACAAAUACAAGGAAAUUUGACAUACAAGUGUUUUGUAUUAACUAGCAUAUCAAGACCAGGUGUAGUUCCACUGGAGACAGGGAUGGCUCCAUCGAGCAGAUUAUAAGAUAGAUCCAGCAAAAAGAGUUUCGAAAGGUUUCCAAUUGAAUGUGGAAUUUGUCCAGUGAAUCUAUUAGAAUUCAGGUCCCUGCGGGAAAUAGCAAUAGAGAGUCUCAGAAAACAGUAAAGGUUGCCAAUAGAGAACAUGUUUAGUCCAUAAGAAAACAGUAAAACACUCACAGAGACUCCAGCAGCUGAAGAGACCCUAUCAACUCAGGGAUAGGACCAGAGAAACUACAACCAGCCAACUUUCUAGAAUGGAAGAAAAGAAAAUUCUGUCAGUUAAUUAGAGGAUUGGUUUCAGUUAAUACUAACAUCAUAUUAUUCCCUUACAAGUUUUUUAGCUUCUUCAAAUUCACAAUUGAUCGUGGAAGGGCACCGUUCAACCCCGUGUUGUACGAUAGAUCCCUAUAACCAGACACUGUUAAUGAGCAAGGAAUCCUUGGAAUGGAAAACAAUCACUAUAUUCAUAUAUCAAGAAAAAAGAUGAAAGCAGUUCUGGGAAUGAGGCCUUUUCUCAAUAUGUGCCUCAUGCCUUGAGAUCCGGACGCUAGAGCAGCCCAGUCUAGACAUCUGGAAAGCCAAAUAGUAUCGUAGCACUACUUGUAAGUCGGGAUCUUUUAUUAUGUGAAGUCAAAACUCAAGACUUACAGAACCUCCAAUUCUGAUAAGAAGGAGAUGUCUCCAGACAGCUUACCCAUCAAUCCCACAGCUGCCAACGUUCUGCAGUUGAAAAUAGUCAGCUAAUCUCGAAACUUGGAGAAGGAAGAAGGUACGAGGCUUAAUUAACGUUAGAAGCUGAACAACCGCCAAUAACUUACAUCGAAGUCACACGUGAAUUGUUACAUGAAAUGUCUUCCCAUCUGCCUCCACAGGGAUCUGCACCCACCCAAUUACGUGGUGUGUUUUCCCAGGCAUCCUUGAGAAUACUCAUUACUGUAACUGCAUCAGGAAUGGGGCAGGACAAUAAAAAACUUCCAUGAUUCAAUCACCGUCAGAAUUGUCUAGUUACAUGGAGUAUGGAGGAUCCAUUAAAGCUAGCAAAGAUCUCUACUAAAUCUAAUCUAGCCAUGAACUUCAAUGAGAAGAUUAGCAUAAAAAGCUACAUCCUACAUGAGACAUGGCUCAAAGACUCUUUGUAGUAAACGGGGAAUAUUAAUUUAUUGAACUUACAAUCAUCACCAUAGGUCUCUGUAUAAAUCUGAAAGGAAGCAACCACCAGAAACGUGAGAACUUUGGGACACAUUUCUCGACAAAAUUGCAAAGCUCUUUGUUAUGAAUGUUGCAUAACUCCAAAACCCUUUAAUAGCAGAAAUGAUAUCUAGAAGCGCAACUCUUAAUAUGAUAAAACAUGGAAGGAAGAUCUUUACAUAUCCCCAUCUUUUAUCUGUCUCAAAAUUUAUAUCGUGAAAGGACAUGAAUGGGACAAUUUUGUUCGUAUGAAUCACAUAUUAAAUACAAAGACAAUUGACCUCCCAUCUCUAGUCAUUUUCAAGUUUAUAGUCAAUAUGAAACUCUAAGACUCCUAAAAAUAGAAGUAGAGAAACAAUUUAUGGGAUACUGUACGUGAUAAGAAUGAGUUGUGAGAGUGAGAAGAACCCACCAAGUGGUUUCUUGCAUAAAGUAAAUGUUGAUUCUAGUAAAAAGCAGGGGCGGAACCGGGGGAGGCAGGGCCCGGGCUCCUGUAAAAUAUUUUAAAUUUUUGUAUUUUUAGUAUUUAAAUAUAGGAUAAUAUAAUAUUUUAUUUUAAAUAAAUCAGUUUUCUAAUAAUAAAUUAUAUCUUGAGUUUUGGCCCUCCCUAUUAUAUAAAUAAGCAUCCACUCUGAUUGCAUGCACAUACACUUACAGAAUACAGAGAGCAUUUCCACAUUUCCUACAGUACAUACACCAAGUGGUCAUGAUUGUCUGCUGAAGUCAUUUUUUAAGCAAUCAAUACAAGGAGUUAUCAAUUGUUAAUGAGAUGUAGGAUAGAGCUAAGCCUAAAAAGAGAUAUAAUUACAUAGAAUAACUAUUCGGACAGAAAAACAUAUAAUUUUUUAUCUAAACGUAGAAUUGGAGUCAAAUUUGACUAGAAGGAUUUGUAUGCCUAAUUCUAUAAUAAGGCCUUCAAAUUACACUCAAAGAUGUUUUUUGAUUCAGUUAAAUCGGAGCCGUACAUACACAUUGAACUUCUAGAAAUAAUUAGAUUUUAGUGUGUAUACAAUUAAUUUUUAUUAAUUAAAAAGUUUCCCAGUUUUAUCACACAACAUCUCAAAAAUCCGGAAGUCACGUUCCAUCUUCCUCCUACUUUGUUUCUUUAAAAAGAUGCUUUUGAGCCUGCUGGAAUAGCAUCAUUAUUCACCAUAAAGAACAUGGAUGAUGGAUUAUUGUAAUGAAGUUUAAGGUUUUAUUAAUUAAGUACUAUAUAAGUGUAGAAUUGUACCUCGUUAUAAACUAAUGCUUGGCAGGGGAAGGACUCUUGUCACACACAAAAGACUUAAAUACUUUCCAAUCACACCUAGAUCAUACAUGUUAUUCAUAUCGUCCAAAACUGUUGAGCACAUAACAUGACACCAAUCACAUUAUGCGAUGGAUGGAGUGAUGAUGCACCCUUCCGAUGGUGAAGCCUAGAAACACUUUAACAAUAUGCAUCCUUAGUUUUCAGUGGAGACAAGGAACGUGCAUCUUUGGUUAUUUAUAGAUGAAUUCAAUCCAUUCGGGUCAUUUCUUACUCCUUAUUCUUGUUGACCGGUGAUACUCACGGUUUAUAAUUUGUCACUAAGGAUGUGUAUAAGGCUAGAGUUCAUGUUUUUAUCUACGGUCAUACCAGGUGUUGUUACUCAUUUUUGAGCCCCACAUGCAAAGGGAUAUGGUGUGUACCCUUCUUGAGUUGAAGGCAGAAGUUUUGUUCAGGGUUGCUGAGAAAUUGACAAAAACAGAGAAAAAAAAAAUGUUUUUCGAACCCUGUUUCAGUCGUCUUCUACUCUCUUUAUCCUUUCUCUUUUUUUCCAAAAUUAUCAAAAUUAUUUGGCUAAUUAAGAGUUUUAUAAUGCUGAAUUCAUUUUUUUUUUAUCUGGUAUUUAAAAUUGGAUAAAUCCUUUAGAAGUUGCACUAAAAAAAACUAAUUCUGCUGCUAUCAUAAUUUUUUAUUACAACUUAGACCUUAAUUCUGACUUGGUUUCAUGCAAUAUCUUACCAUCCUUAAUUAGCAAGUUCAAACCCAAUGAGCACGAUAAACGUGUUUUUGGUUGGUGAAACUUUCAUGGCAUAUACAGAGAGGCCUCCAAUGCGACAGUUUGUGACAUUUCAUGACGGAUUCAUCGCAAGAAAAGAAACAAAGAAAAGAAAGGUUGUCUGGGACCAUUCAACCACGAUAAAAAAAAUAAAUAAAUAAAUAAAGCUACAAAGCUGUCAAAUUCAGGAAUGUGAACGCAAAGAAAAUCUCAAUAAAGCUGCACUGGAAAAAAGGAAAAAGAAAAACCAAAAUCAACGUGAUUGGCUGCAGUGAUACGUACGUUCCGUCCACUUGACUAAAGAAAAACCAAAGAGAACAUGACUUCCUUGAGACCCCAUGGCACAAUUUGGGGCCAAGGGAGUUCACCAACAGUUGGAUCUCCAGGUUCAUUACGCAUCUACUAGCUUCAUGAGCAUUAUUUAAAUGAAGUUUUAAUGGCAUAAUGCCGUGGAUGUGCUUUGAAGUAAAAAGAAGCAAUUAACAAUGUUGCUACUUAAUUUUAACCUAGAUAAAUUUUUAAAUAAAAAUAAUAAAAAAUAAGGGUUUACAUGUGACGAUAGCAUAGAGCAUCAGGGCUAAUAUUAAGGGAGCAAUAUGUCAAGGAGAUAAUUAUUGAAUCAUAUAUAAUUACUGUAAUAUAAAAUACAAUCAAUAUGGACUACACAGUGCAUACCACGGUGAAAAAGCUUAUGCCUUCUUCUUCUUUUUUAAUUAAUUUUUUUAUUUAAUUUGUUGAUAUUAAUUUUUUUUUCUAUUUAGUUAUCAGACUUUCAUGACAUGAAUCUCAUGUUUGACGAGUUAACCUAGUUAAUUUAGAUUUUCUUUUUCUUUUUCUUCAUUGGUUUUUUUCUUCUUUUAUUUUUUCUUUUUAUUUAAAUUUUUUUUAUUUAAUUUAGUUCAUCAAUAUUAAUUUUUUUUCUAUUUCGUUAUCGACUGAUGCCUUUUCUUUUUCUUUUUUUUUCUUUUUGCUUUUUUGUCAUUUUUAUGCCUUUGACUGUGGACUGCAUAGUGCAAUCCACAGUGAAAAGGCUGAUGCUUUUUGUUUGUUUUUUUUUCUUUUUAAUUAACUUUUUUCGUUUAAUUUAGUUUGUUAAUGUUUGAUUUUUUUCUAUUUAGUUAUCAAAUUUUCAUGAUACAGAUCCCGAGUUUGACGGGUUAGCCUAGUUAAUUCUAGGGUAACCUGUCAAUUUUUUUCUCUAUUUAUUUAUCAAACUUUCACGACACGAAUCCAAGAUUUGACGAGUUAACCUAAUUUGAAGGGUUAACCUAGAUAAUUCAGAUUUUUUUCUUUUUCUUCAUUAGUUUUUUUUUCUUCCUGUUGGUUUUUUUUUCUUUUUAAUUAAUCUAUUUAAUUAUCACACUUUUACAACACGACCUUGCAGCCAGACCCACAUCCAUGACUAUUGGAUCUGGUAUUACAGCCAAACCCACUUAAACUUGGGUCAUGCAAAUUUAAUGUUAUUAUUAAUAUUAUAAAUAUUACUAUUGGGUCAGGCAUUACAGCCAAAUCCAAGACUCUAGGGUAUAGCUUUGCAAAAAGACCUAACACUUUUAGAUCUUAGCUUUUUUUAUAUUUUUUAUGCAAAAAAUUGACUCGCAACAUCGCACGAGUCAUGUAACUAAUACAUAUCUAAAGGUAUGAUCCAUAUUGGCUAAGGGUUUUUUUUUGUUUUAGACUUCGAACCCAAGUCCGUUCAUCAUAGCAAACUCAUCCUAUGAAAAUUGAUUAGAAAACACCAACACAUAGCAAUGAUAAGGCAAACCAAACACCAAACAGCUUACCUUAGGUAAGGCGUACUAGGGGUGCUAAAACCUUCAUUUUAUGCAACCAGUCCCUUGCCUUAGAUUCUCUGAAAAACCAGUUAGGUUUUCUAGCUAGUGACCAUAAUACUAGGUGGCAACUUCCUUUUUCACAAAACAAAAACCUUGAAAUCAAUCCCCCGCUCCAAGAAAGGUCGCCACAACGUCGCACUCUCAAGAGGGUACGACACCAGGUUCUAAGUCCAAGUCCAAAUAUAGAUGUUUGUCUUCAACUGUUGAUUGAUGAGUUGAAAUAGUUGAGGUCAUCCGAGGCUUUGGCUUAUGAUGUACGAAGGAAACAAAAUUUUCUGAUGAAGGCAACUUUGAUGUGGACUAUCAAUGAUUUUCUAGCGUAUUGAAUGGUUUCUAGUAAGAGCAUGCAUGGAAAACUAACAUACCUAUACUAUAUGAAAAAUAACAAGGCAUUCACACUAACAAACAACCUUAAAGUGCUUUUUUUACUAUUAUCGAUGGUUCUUGCCAACAGAUCGCAUGUUCAAAAGGAACAAAAAGGACUUUUUUGUUGGCAUGGUUAAAAAGGAUGUUGCACAACAACUUCUUUUAGGUGAAAAAUUGUAUAAUUUGGUAUCAGAGUAUGGUGAUAUUGUGUUUAGUUUUCAAUCUGAAAAGCAAAAAUUUCUUGGUUUUUGUUUGACCCAUAAUUAGGUAAAGUGAAGUAUUUUCUAGGAGAUUCCUUAUCAGAAGACCAAACUCCUCCACCAUAACCUUGAUGUCAUGCACAUGGAAAAAACAUGUUUGAGAACAUUUCCAACAUGAUUAUAGACGUGCAGAGGAAGACAAAUGACAGCAUCAAAGCUAGAAUGGAUAUAGCUUUAUUUUGUCACCAUAAAAAUAUGGAGUUAGUUUAUGUUGGGUCAUGGGUCUCAAAGCCCAAAGUCAGCUUCACCUUAGACAAAAAUGCAUAGUUUCUUGUCCACCAAUGGCUUAAAGGGUUGUGUUUUCCUAAUAGACAUACCUCAAACAUAUCAAGGUUGGUGAGUUUUAAGGAUUGUGUAGAUUGUAUGGAAUGAAGAGCCAUGAUUGUCACGUGUUAAUGCAAAUACCCAUUCCAUUAGCUUACUGGAUUUAUUAUCGAAAAGGAUAUUGGAUGCACUUGUAGAGAUUAGUCACUUCUUUAGAGAUAUAUGCUCCAACAAGUUGCAGACACAAAACAUAGAAAGACUUAAAACGAAUAUCAUCCAGACAAAAUGCAAACUUUAGAUGAUAUUCCCUCCAAUGUUUUUUGACUUGAUAAAGCAUUUACCUGUAUAUUUACUAUUUGAGGCAACAUUUGGACGCCUAAUACAAUAUAGAUGGAUGUAUCCAUUCGAGAGGUUAGGAUUUAAACAUGCAUCGUAAUUAAAACUUUAUUAUCUUCCUUCGUAUAUUUCAAAAGAUUCAUUUAAUUUCAUAUAGGUACUUGUUCAACUUUAAGAGAAAAGCAAAAAACAAGGCACAUGUUGAGGCUUCGAUAUGCGAGGCCUAUAUUGUUGAAGAGAUUUUAACAUUUAUCUCAUACUAAUUGAGCAUCAAUUGAGAACAAGAAUCAAAUGCAUUCCAAGGUAUGACAAUGGUAAGGAUGUGUCUUCGAGUGGGAACUUGUCAAUAAUAUCUCAUCAUGGAUGACCCAUACCAAAAAAAUACUAUGAAGGGAAUAUAUUUUUCAAAAAUAGAAUUAAGACAAACACAUAAUUAUGUGCUAUUUAAUUACGAUGAACUAGGACCUUUUAUUCAAUAAGUAUGCUACUUAAUAUGUCUUUAUUUUUUAACAAUUUAUUUCUUAUAAUAUUAUAAACUAAUACAUUAUUGAAUUUCUUGUGGGCAAUGAUAAAUUAAUUAUGGAAGAUGAUAUCUUUCAACUUGGUGAGUUAGUUGAUCCAUAUGAAGUUACUUUGUCUAACAACUUAGAAGAAAAUUUAAAUUUCUAUAUCGUCAAGAAUAUUUUUAUUGAUGUUGACACGUAGAAGUUGAAUGAUGUUUUGAACUCUAGGGCACAUACACAAGUCAGUGAAGAUGAUAAUGACAAAAUCAACAUACAAGAUUGCAUGGAGAUAAAGACGAUUCAAUUGACGAAGUGGAAGAGAAUUCUGAUGAAUUUGCACAAUACAAAUGUGUAAUGCCAUAAAAUAUAAUGUAAUAUUUAUAUACGAGAUUCACUUCAAUGUAAUGACAAUGAUGUUAAUUUAUUAUUGAAUGAAAAGGAAAUAUUUAUUUUAUUAUUGUGAUGUGAACUAGUGUUAUUGUGUUGUGUGUGCAGCUAUGAAUUGAAGUAUCUAUAUGAUGUUAAUUUUUACAUUGAUAAAAAUUCCGAGACACUAUACAUUACAUACAAGUAUAUUGACGAAAUGUAUUCGUCGAUAUAUUCUAGGAACCAAAGGAACUAUUCCCUUUCACCUUGGCACUAUUCACGAUAUUGAUUACAUACAAGUAUAGCAACAGAAUGUGUUUGUCGGUAUAUUUCAGAGAACAUGGGAAUUGUACCCCUUCACCCGAUGAUGUUCAUGGUGUUCAUUAUAUACGGGUAUAGAGAUGAAAUGUGUUUGUCGAUAUAUUCUAGAAACCAUGGAAAUUGUUCCCCUUCACCCUGACACUGUUAAUAGUGGUCAUUACAUACAAGUAUACCAACAAAAUGUGUUCUUCGAUACAUUUUAAAGACUAUGGGAAUUGUGUCCCUUCACCCUAGAACUACUCACGGUAUUCAUUACAUACGGGUAUAUUGAUAAAAUAUAUCUGUCGGUAUAUUUUAGGGACCAUGGAAACCAUUCACUUCUCAAUACGGUGAUAAUUAAUGAUGUUUUGAUUGUUCACUUUUUUUCUAAUAGAAUCACUAACGGAAUGAAAAGUUAUCGAUAAUAUUUGGAGGGGAUUUCUUAAAAUUUUCUCGUAAGUUGAGAAUUUCCAUUUGACUUUACAAACAAAUCACCAACGGAAAUAUUAAAAAUAUUAAUAUUUAAUUUCCCGUCAGUAAUCCCGUCGGUAAAAACAAAAACAAAAGGCUUACAUCAUGACAGAUUAGGGAUUCAUCUUCUUUUCUUUUUCUCUUUUCUCUCCCCUUCUCACCUAAGAUCAAGCAUUCUCUUCUCUUCUCAUCCUAAGGUAUGUUGACGUCUUUCUUCAUUUUUCUUCUUCUUCUUUUUUUUGGGUUUAUUUACAAUGUAUUUUUUUAUUUUUUUUAUUUUUUGAUUUUUUAAUUAAAAGCUUAAAUAAAGCAUGUCAUUAAGGUAAGAAUUUUUCAUUCAUUUUUCUUAUUUUUUUGGUGUUUUUUUUAUUAUUUUUGUUCAUUUUUGUGUUCUUAAUAAUUUUAUUAAUCAAUAAAUGACAUGAAUAUUAGUUGUUAUUGAAAUAAUUUUUGCAUUAUUUUGUUGAAAUUUAGUUAUUUUUUUCAAAUUUGUUGUUCAAUUUCAAUUAAUUGUGUAGAAAUAAUUUUAAUUACUAUUUUUUAUUUAUUCCAUUUAGAAUAAAUUUUUAUAAAUUUAGAAUUAAAAAUAUUAUUACUUAGAAAUAAUUGUGUUUAAUUUUAGUUGUUGUUGUAAGAUUUUUUGCAUUAUUUUGUUAAAUUUAGUUGUUGUUUUUUUUCAAUUUCAAUUAAAUGUGUAGAAUUAAUUUUAAUUAUUAUUUUGAAUUUUUGUAAAUUUAAAAUAAUUUGUUGUUAAUAUUAUCACGUAGAAAAUGAAAAUUUUCUAUGAAAUUGAACUAUGCUAACUUGUUAGAAGAAAUUGAAUAAAAUCAAUUGGUUUGUAGCAUAUAUAUUAUGUAUUUGCAAGUUUACAAAAUUUAGGUAGUCUCCCGUAUAUGGAAGAUGUUGUCGAAUGUUUUAAACAAAUAGGAAUCUUUUUAAAAAAAAUUAUCUAUUAAUUUGUGUGGAUGUCUAGGGGAAAGUCUAUUACACGUCGUGAGGAUAAAAUCGUUAUUAGUUCUUCUAACAGCGAUGCUGACGACCAUGAGUCAUUAGGUGCCGACCAAGAACAGGCACUUGAGGCACAAGCAUCGACUCAUGAUGAGGACUCGUUGAGUGCGAUGCCGCAACAUCAUGGGGGUCUCUUCACAACAAGACCCAUUUACCCACAAGUAUGAGGCCUAGUUGAAGGACAAUGUUUCAAUAUAAGUUUGUUUUGCUUUCACAACAUGUUUAAUAAUUUUUAAAAAAAAUAAUAUCAUUUAAGGAAUGCAAUUUCAAGUUUACAAAUAUUUAGGCUACUAGAACAAUAAUAUUGGCCUUUAAAUUGUCGAUGGAAAUUCUAUUAUUUCAAUGGAGGCAGGUAUACAAACAUCCUAAAGAGAAACCGUGGAUCGAUACAUAGUUUUCAAGGUUCAAGGUUAGUAUUAGCUUAAAUAUUUUUUAUGUUAAUUUGAACAGUUUAUUGAAAUUCUUGAAAUUUUCCUUUUUUAAAUUUGUACUUCAAGGGAAAAUUUGAAUAAGAGAGAGUUUAUGAUAAUUUUGCAAGGAGGGUUUGAGAGAAUCAUGCUACAAUUAGAUAAAAUCAAAUUCAUGAUAAUUUUUUUAUCCCAAAUAUUAACAUUUUAUUUUUCAUUUACUAAUAGAUAAUUAAUUUGCACCAUAUAGGUUGUGUGAUAUUUUGUACGAGGCGCGAAAGAUAGCCAAAAAAUAUGCAAAAUAAAGAGACCUUCCAGGUUGGACUGAUAUGGUGGUUUGAAAGGAUUUCAUACUAUUGUAUUUCUCAGAGGCUAUAUGGGUGGAAUACAUUUAGCACAUGAUGUCCGCAUGUUUCACUCUACAGUCAUAGUCCAGUACGGAUAAUCGAAAUCGGCAUGUUCAUGGUUUUAUUGUCAUGCACACCGGUAGCUCUAUUCCUUUUGUUUUACAUACGAAGUGGAUGGUAGGAUUUUAUUUUUUUUAUAACAUCCAUUUUUUAUUGGUUGUUUUUUUAUAAAUAUACUUAACUAAUAAUUAUUUUUUUUAUUGUAGGCUACGAUUCUUGGAUGCAAGCCAAGCCCAAUGGAGUUUGUUGUUCAAAUGCAUGUGUAAGUUAUUAUUUCCUUGAAUUUGAUAAAUUUAUUUUUUUCUUUCUAGGAUAUAUAUAACAGCCAAUUGAAGGAGAGAUAUGGAGGUGAUCCUUCGACCCAUCUAGAUAUCGAUCUAGAUUUGUGGUUGAAGGCAAGAUCGUCUGGUGGGUCAAUGAAAAUCAGAUGUAUGGACUCUUUAACACUAUGGCCAAACUUGUAUAGAACUCGUAGUGCUUCAACGGUUGGAUGCUCACAAUCAAUUCUGAGCAUUCAGAUUCUGGAUUUCACAGCAAUAUUAGACCAACGGGUGCAAGAUCAAACGACCCAUCUGAAUGAUAAAUACGAACGACUCACUACUGAUUAUAAAGAAGUCCAUUGAUUCGUAAUGUGGAUGAGGUCAUAGAUGGGUGGUUCAUAUGCAACCCCUAAUUGGCCCCACGAUUCCGACAACGACCAACCUCCUCCUCCAGUGUUGCCUCUAUUUUAGAUUUAUUGUAUUUGAAUGUACAAAUAUUUAAAUUUGUAAUAAAUAUUUAUUUUUAUACUAAUUUAUUUUAUUUUAAUUAUUUUUCUACUUUUGUUCAAUAUAUUUUUUAAGAAAAUAUUUUUAAAAUAUUAUUGUUGAGGUUACCGACAUCACAACUCCGUCGGUAUAUUCUAAUAAAGAGUUGAAAAGAAUUACUACAAAUAUUACUAUUUUUAUGGGGUUACCGACAAAACUAUAUUGUCGAUAUAUUCUAGAGAGGUGAAAAAGAAUUACUACAUAUGUCACUACUACUGUUAACGCACCGAUGGAAUUAUAGAUGGUAUUAUACCGAUGAUAUAUUAUAUUUACCAAUGGAUAUACUAACAAAAUAAAGCCGUUAAAUUUAUUUUUUUUGACGUGCUCUUUUCAUUUGUAAAUCCAUUGGUAUAUUUAUUAUUAACGAACUCAACAACAAUCCAUAAAUUACAAAUGAGAGUUUUUCCAACAGACUGUUUCUGUCCAUGAGUCUAUCGAUAACAUAUGUACCGACAGACUAUUAGUGUAAACACUGACAUAAAUUUCUAUCGAUAAAACUAUUAAAUCUAAUAGUCGUUUGCUAGUCAUUUAAAUUGAGAGAAAUAAAUUUUGGUCAGUCAAGAGAUAGGAGCCAAAGAAAACUCCAAAAAAUAUUUGAACUCACUCAUGGAAAGAAUGCUUCCUUCAGUCACCAGCUUGACCACUCAACAUUUGUUAGAGGAAUGUAUCCAAGGUUUGAAUUCCUCGGUCAUUCCAUCGGUAAAAUUGCCCACAAAAACUUCCACAUCAUCGAACUACUUUUUUAAAAAAUUCUAUAUAUUUUGUUUGUAAUUUAGUCAGUAUAUGUAUACCGAUAACAGUAGUUGGUAUGUACCAAUUGAAUUAGGGAUGGAAUAGUGUCCGUCGGUAAUGCUCACCACAUUUUACUGACAGAUUAUUUCGUCAAUAAUUAUGUUGGUUUUAGGCAAAUUUCUGGUAGUGGACGGGGUUACCAAUGACACAACUUUGUCGGUAUUCUAGAAAGUUGAAAAAAAGUUACUAUAAAUGCCACUAUUAUUGAUGAGGUUACUGACAAAACUAGACUGUCGGUAUAUUCUAGAGAGGUGAAAAAAAAUUGCAGCAUAUGUCAUUGCUUCUGUUAACACACCGACGGAUUAUAAUGGUAAUAUAUCGGUGAUAUGUUAUAUUUACUGAUGAAUAUACUGACAUAAUAAAGCAGAUAAAUUUGUUUUGGCAUGCUCUUUCAAUUUGUAAAUUCAUUGGUAUAUUUAUUAUUGACAGACUCAACAACAGUCCAUAUUACCAACGAGAAUUUUUCCAACAGAUUGUUUCUAUUAGUCGUCUGUCGGUAACAACAGAAAUUUCCGUCAAUAAAACUAUUAGAUCUGAUAGUCGUUUGCUAGUCAAAAUUGAUAGAAAUAAAUUCUGGUCAGUUUCAAGAGAAAAGAGCCAAAGAAAACUCUAAAAAAUAUUUGAACUCACUCGUGGAAAGAAUGCUUCCAUCAGUCACCAGCUUGACGACUCAACAUUUGUUAGAGGAAUGCAUCCAAGAUUUUAUCAACCUCAAUUAUCAUCAUGCAACAAUAACAGUGGCCAUCGUUAUUUACAGCAGUUAAUUAGUUGUUAUAGAGACAAAAACUUGUCUAUGUGACGACAGCUGAAAAUGAUCCUUAAAGAUAUCAGAAUUUCUUCCAAACGAAUCUGUCCUUAAAGUCAUUCCAAAAUUUUCUAUAUAUAAACUCAGUCGUUUGCUAGUCAUUAAAUUCACAUAAAUAAAUUCUGGUCAGUCAAGAGAUAAGAGGCAAAAGAAAACUCCAAAAAUAUUUGAACUCACUCGUGGAAAGAAUGCUUCCGUCAGUCACCAGCUUGACCACUCAGCAUUUGUUACAGAGACAAAAACUUGUCUAUGUGACGACAGCUGAAAAUGAUCCUUAAAGAUAUCAGAAUUUCUUCCAAUCGAAUCUGUCCUUCUAAUUGGAAACACACUGGUCCCCUCCGACCCCUCCCCUCCAUCAACUCUUGCAAUAAUAUAUUCUCUCUUGGACUUGACGGCACCUGGCCUGAGAAACAACUGGCACGGCAUGCGAGAAAUGUAUUGAUCCUUGACGGUUCUCCUGUGAUGCAAACAAUCAGUACAGCAUGUAGAAGUGCUAGCUGGAAAUUUAUUUAAUUAAUAUGAAUGGGAAAUUUACCUAAAAAAAUUCUUGGUUUUUCAACUCAAAUAAUUCUUAAUUUUUUUAUAUUUAAUUCUUGACUUAUAAUGGUUAAUCAAAGGUUGAUAAUGAUGAAAAUUAAUUCUUCAUCCUUUUACCUUCCAAAACUUACUAUUAAAAGAAAAGUGAAAAAAGAGUUUUCAAUUUGAAUUUUUCAGAUUCUUAUGGUGUUUGUUGUAACCCAUUUUUGGGUCCCCAUGAAAAAUAAAAUAAAUAGCCAAAAGAGUUUAGAAAAAAUAACAGAAGGUAGAAGCGCUCAGGAAACAGUUAGAAAAUUGGUCAAGAAAUUCAAAAAUACAAGGAUUAAAUUUUUGACAGUAUAUUCUUGAAGGAUGAGAGCCCUAUUGAGAAGGAAAAUUUGAAUUUUGAGGAGAAAAACCCAAAUUUGGAUGUUUAUGGACUUAAUUGGAUUUUUAUGGACUUAAUUGGAUUUUUAUUUGAAUUUAUAAAGGAUUUGAUUGCAAGAAAAAUUAAUUUUUAAGUCAAUUUGGGCUUUAAUUUGAAGAAAUUUAAGUUCUGGGGCCAAAAUAUAUUUUUUAGGAAUUUAUUGGGUCAAAUCAAGGGCUUAAUUGAAUAAAUAUUGAAGUUUAAGGGCCAAUUAGGGAUUUAAUUAAGAAAAUCCGAAACCAGGGACCAAAUUGGAAGAGGCGCGUAAAUGGAGGGGCUGCAAAUUUUUUGGUUCAGGGGCCUAAUUGAAGAAAUUGAAAGUUUAUUAAUCAAUUGAGGGCUAAAUUGCAUAAAUCAGAGACCAAGGACCAAAGUGAAAAAGGCGGCCAACAAGAGGGGCGGGGACCGAGUCCGAAGGACUAAUUUGAAGUUUGACCCAUUUAAAUGAAACGGCGCGUUUUAUCCAAAACGACGCCGUUUCAUAUAUAUAUAUAUAUAUAUAUAUAUAUAUAUAUAGGAAAGACCAGAACGGUGUCGUUUUGAACGACACUGUUCGUCUUCUUCCUUUCCCCCGCAGAAACAGAAACAGAGGCAAAACCAUUUUUUUUCGUUUUUUUUCAAAAUCUUCCCGCGCCUCUCUCUCCUCGCCCCCACCACCUUUAGAUAUUGGCCGACCAGCCGUUACACCCGAUGGUCCCCCACGGUUCAGCCCCUAUAAAUAGAGAAGAAAACCGAAAGAAAAAAGGAGACCCCGAGCGGAAUAGAGAGAGAGAGACCCGAAGGGAGGAGAGAAAGAGAAAACCGCCUGACCCGCCGUCCGUAAGCCAAGCUGCCACCGCCUCCGCAGCAGCACCGCCAGCAAGUCGUCGUCUUCGCCGUGCCAGGUACGCUUCCCCCCCUGCACAUUUUUUUCUUUUUGUUCUUAAAUUUCGUCUCCUGCAUGCAGAGGCGUUCUGCAUGCAGGGGACGGGGGGGGAAUAAUUCCCCCCCCUUGUGUUUUUUAAUUCCUCUGGGCCAGAUGUUGUCUGGCCCAGAACUAUGUGGUCCGGGCCAGAGAGAUCUGGCCCAGUCCGGCGAUCUGGGCCGGGUCCGGCCCAGACCGAGGUUAAUUAGUUUUUUGGGCCGAGUUCGGCCCAGUACCCGUUGGGCCGAGGUCGGCCCAACGACUGUUGGGCUAGGUCUGGCUCAGUUUAGUUGGGCCGGCCCAGCCCCUUUUAAUAUAUAAAUAUAUUAUAAUUAUAUUAUAGUAUUAUUAUUAUAUAUGUGUAUAUAUGUUAUAUAUAUUAAAAAAUAUUUAUAUAAAAAAAUAAUUAAAAAAAAAAUCUAAAAAAUAUUGUUGAUUUUUCCGCAUAUUUUUAUCAAAGUGGUUUAAUAGUGGUUUGUAUUUUUAUACCGUAAAGAUACAAAACCAGUGUUAUAAAUACCCGGUUUUCGUCAAAACAUCAAAGAUUUUCAGAAUAAAAAAUGUUUUUGCUUUCAAAAAAAAAAAUUCUAAAAAGUCCCUAAAAAUGUUGUUGAUUUUUCUGCAUAUUUUUAUCAAAGUGGAUUAAUAUUGGGUUGUAUUUUUAUACCGUAAGGAUACAAACUCAGUAUUAAAAUACCCGAUUUUCGUCAAAGCAUAAAAAAAUAAUAUUUUCAAAAAAAAUUGUUUUUGUUUUAAAAUACGGCCUAGUCUCUCCAAUAUAUAUAUAUAUAUAUAUAUAUAUAUAUAUAAAUAUUAUAACAUCACAUUUUCACAACAAAGAAAAUUUUCAAAACAAUAUAUGUAUUAGCAUGCAUUUUGGCUUUAAUAACCAGUUUAUUCAAGCCAUGAGAACUAGGCCAAUAUUUCAAAAAUUCUAAAAAAUCUUUUUGUUUUCUUUUAGUAUUUGGGAUUACGAAUUUAUACGUAAAACGUAUUCCUAAAUAUUAUUAAUAAAAUUUUGGUAUGAACGUUAGAACGUUUAGGAUUUUUACCCGAUAAGAUAAAGACCUCCUUACCGAGGAGGAUUUUUCUUGAACCAUAGACAGACCAACAACUAGGAAAACAGAAUAACACUUUAGUUUUUAUCGGACAAUAAAACAAUGCAGCUUACCUUAGGUAGGGCGUAUUUGGGGUGCUAAUACCUUCCCUUUACGCAACCAGUCUCCGUAUCCGAUCUCUGAGACCAGUUAGGGUUCCUAGUGACCAAAAUACUAGGUGGCGACUCCAAAGAACCAAAUCAAACCAAAUAAUGAAAAAUUUUGCCAGUCGAACCCGCAAUUAUAAAAUGAUUUUUUUUGGGGUGCGACAGUGUUCUUAAUUGCCUCUUAUUUUAAUGUUUUAUUCUCAUUUUAAUUUUUGGUUUUUCUCUCAAAUUUAGAGGUUAGAUUCAUCUUAUAUAAUUAUUAAGACACAUUUGAGUUUCAUAUUUUAUUUUAUUUUUGUUCAAAAACAUUGUUUAAAAAUACAUCUAAACUAAAAUGGUGUUGUUAGAAUCCUAGAAGACGUACUACAAACAUUCUAGUUAUACAGGUGAGAAGCAAUAAAAUCUUAAAGACAAAUGAUUCAUUCUUGACAAUAACAAAAAUUUCAUUACCUUCCUAAUUUGUUUUGGAUCUUUUUUUUUUCCUUCAAGUUUUCAAGUUUGUUUAUGGUAAUUUUCGGGUUUAUUUAAAGAAUUAUAAACUUGUAUUUAAAAUAUUUAAUUAUAAAAUUAUAAAUUAAAAUUCAUGUGUUAUCCUUUCUUUUAAAAGUUUUGUUUACUUAUAUUUAUUAUCUUUAUUGUUUAUAUUAUCUACAUCAAUCGAUGAUAUAAGAGCUCUGCAUGCUCUGCAUCAACUUGCUUACACUCCAUGAUAACAAUAACAUUAAAAAAAAAACCGGAAACCGUCAACAGCAUUGGUGACCACUACAGUAGUUCAUUUUGUCCUCUAAUAUUUGAUAGCCCAUAUCAUUAUCAAUAUUAUGAAAAAGAGAGUCUUCGUAAUUCUUUAUUAUUAAUAAUAAUUGAGAUUCUUGAUUAUCAAGUCUUCCCUUUAUAUAUCAAAUCAUUAGAUUAACCUGUAUAAUUUAUUUUAAUUAAAAUAAUAUUAUUACAUUUAAAAAAAUAUUAAUCUUUAAACUUUUUUAAUCUAAAAUUAGAUGUUUCUAUGCCUAAAUUAAAACUUAAUUGAUUCUGAUUUAUUUAGCAAUGAUAAAAUUGAAAAAUAAGUGACCAAACUCAAGAACAUGGGUUCAAUCAGGCCAAUCCGAAAUCCUCGUUGGGUUUCUUGAAAUAAUUAAAUUAUAGUGUACAUACAAAUAUUGACUUUUAUUAAAGUUUCCCAAUUGUAACACUCCACGUCUCAAAAACCCCAUAGUCACAUUCCCUCAUUCUUCCUCCCACACUCUGUUUCUUGCUUUUGAGCCUGUUGAAUUUGGAUGGGAUGGGCCUUUUUUUUAUUAUCUUUUUUUGUUUGAAAUUAUUAUAUAUAUAUAACUAAAAGAAUAAAGUUUGAAGCUUUGGAGAUUUUUUUUCUUUUGUUUUGAAAGAUUCAAAUUUGCAAAUUCACAAGUGAAGAACUGCAGUUCUGAGAAUUCAUGUGCUAAAUUAAAUAUUCACAAACCAAAUAACUACAGUUCUGAUGCAUUAUAUGCUACAAGGUGCAAACAACACAAGAAAAAUGGCAACUCGUACUCUCGAGCAACAAGUAUAUAUCACUGAAACACUUGCCAAGCCAAGCUCAUACGCCCACUCAUAGUGGCUCU